rnacentral:lncRNA from 1 species
UGGCAUUAAACUGUAUUAUAUCUCCCAACCUAACUUUUAAAAAGUAUAGUCUAAUUACAAAAGUUUGUAUUCUUGAUGUGAGCACCAAGAAGCUAAAGGAAGCAAAGCUCAGUUACUUAAUUUAAUAACAUUUACAUGUUAAUCAGUUGUAGUAUUCCUCUUCUACUUCACUUUAAACCUUUUUAUCUGGAAGGUUCUUUUGUGAGAAUUUUAUAGUUUGUUCUCUACUGCAUCGUAAGUUGAUCUAAUUAUCACCUUACCACAUGGGAAUGUGUUCUUGACAUUUCUGCAGUUGACUUAAUGAAAAUUUGUAAUGCAGAUCAAGUCUAUGAAGGAAAUGUAUGUUCAAAAGCUCUAUCGUCUAUACCAGAAAAUUGCUUAUGAACUGCAACUGGUAUGCCGUCACUAUCCCUCUUAAGUGCUUCAUAAUAGUGCAAAAUUUUGGUAGACUCCCUAGCAAGUUUUGUCAGCAUGCACCAAUGUGUAAUGCAUUUUGUAGUCUAUUGGUUAUUGGAAACUCCUCUAAUCUCUUUGCAUGUUUCUCACACCUAUUAUAGCUCCUUCUUACAUAUAUUCUCUGGCAUUUAUAUUUGAUAAAAACAACUUGAUUUGCCGAACGUAAUCCUAGAAUAUUAUCUAACUGGGAAAUGAUGCAGAUAGCUCAAAACUCUAAAUGCACAUUUUUGCUUCUUUGGUUGAUUUUCUGUUAUCGUGAGAAACAGUAUUCUCAUAGUGGGAAUAUGUUAUAGUGUAGUUAACUCCCUUUCAUUUCUAGCAUCAGCAUCAUUUGUUUGUGUUGAAGCAUUGUGAAUGAUUGUGAAAUCGAGGUGGUGGUGGACACCAUAAAGGGAGUUAUUUACACAUAUCUAGGUAGACAUUGCAGUGUAGAUGUCAUUUUAUGUUAGUUUGUUUUCCUUUUGGCAAAGGAAUCAAGGCUUCCCAAGCUCAUCGGGCAAGGGCUUGAUUUAUCUGAAUUUAAAGAGCACUUGAGUCAACAUUCUGCUGAAUUUCGGGAACCUUGCGAGCUAUGUUAUUUGUCUUUUUAUGCCAUUUCUUGAAUUUUCCUCCAUUUUUCUUUGCCGUGGGAGGUACUUGAAGCAUGUAUUUCAAAAGUUUGCAAAGGGUAAGAAACAGGACUGUGACUAAACUGAUUUUUGUUUCCGAUUUGAUGCAGGACUCUCUUCAUCAGCGUCGUACAAAUGAGCAAAUUGAAAAGCUCAAGCUGUACAAGAUAGCAUUGGAACGCAUUUUGUGUUUCUUGGGGCUUAGCAAGCAUGAUAUUCAACCUGCUCACAAGGAGAAACUGCUUUCGGUUGAGAAGCUCAUAAAUUUCUUUUUUAGUCCCUCUCAGCAGCGAAAGCCUACUUCUUCUCCAGUGCAGGAGCGACUUCCUCAGUCUUCCAUGCUGCUUCAGCAACCACAAUCACUUGAUGGUCAAACUAAUCCAUCGAUGCAACCCGUACACGGCCCGUGGAAGGUAAUGUGACAAAACAAUUUGACCAACUUGCAACAUAUUUGUUUGGAUAAUUCACUACUACUUCUACUUCAUAUUCGUAGAAUUGCAGGGGGAUUUCCCAUUGGGGGUCUCGGGUUUAAGAUGUUCAUGUAUGCUUUCUCAAUUGGGCUCGUCGCACAAGGAUUGUUUAGUGAGGGUUUACCUCUCCUAUGUGGUUUGUUGACGAGGUUUACUUUGUGUGAACCCUAAGGCUAGCGAAUGCGGAUUCCCUGGUCAUCAAAAAGGUUUAAAAAAUGAUGAAGCCCACAAGGUCUUGGUCUAGUGGUAAGAGUGAAUUUGUGACGUAUGGGUUAGAGGGGUGUCACCGGUUCAAACCUGUUAUAGUCUAAAACCGUUAUUUAAGUGAGUGGAGAAGGGUAGAGCGUGGACCCAUUAUCAGUCGAUUUUCUAACUCUGCCAUUCGCCUCGGGGGUUUUCGGCUAUAAAAAAGGGUAAAAAAUAAUGAACAACAACAUACUUGGUAUAAUCAUACUGGUGGGGUUUGGGGAGGGAAAUAUGUUUGCAUACCUUACCCUACCUUUGUGGGGGUAGAUAGACCGCUCAAAAGAAGUGUAUUAAUUCGUAAAAUUAAUUGUAAUUACAAUAUUAUCCAAACACAAAGUGAACUUAUGAGUGGCAAUCAAAAUUUUGUGUUGGAGGUUUGUACUUUUUAAUAGUAUAGAUUAAAAGAUUGAAAUAUUAAUAUAUAACCAAAUACCCAAUCAAUACCCUAGUGUAAAGUGGGAAACUUAGCUUUCUUAGACAAGUACAUUUGGCGGGAAGUUAAAAUGUAUUAAUAUACCUGAAAUGUCUAGCACUACCCCAAAAUUUGCCUGAAAUUUUUAUGAUGCAAGCAACCAACUUCUGUAAUAUUUGUGUUAUGCUCAAUUUUUGUUUUAUUUGUAGCACUUUUCGAUUCUACAAUUCCGACGGGAAAUGCAAAUGGGGUUGAUUGGCACUUGGCAGGAAGAGGUUUACCAGAAGGUAUGUUCGUAACGGUAUUUUAGUUGGACAAGAUUUUGGAAACUGUGGAAUUACAUAAACUGGCUGUUUAUAACAUUAUAAGAAAUAGUUGUAUGUUUUGAAAUAUUUCCUAUGAUUAUAGAGUAAUAGAAGAGGUUUACCAUACCAACUGUUCAGCUAAAUUCAUGGUCGUACCCCUCCCCCGCAAGGUGCUUUAUAUAUUCCAUGUUUUAGAAAAAACAGAAAUUGAGCAUGUUACCUGAUAACUUGUUAGAAACUGGUAUAUUCUCAAUUUAGAAGCACUACUACAACUACAAUCCUAAGCAAGUUGAGGUCGAUUAUAUGAAUCCUCACCGUCAAUGAUGCACUGUUUGUGCUUGUCUUCAUCCAAUAUUGUUAACGACAAAAAAUUAGUUUCACAAGCACUGGCAUAAUUGAGAAGUCAAGUACUCUUUGAUAAAUUAAUUGAUUAUAGAAAACUAGUUGUUGAAUACUAAGAUCAUAUCGUCUUAAUUCAAGAGGUAAUAUGUCAAUAAGUUUGGAUCAAAGUCGUCUUAGUAUGUCACCAAUUUGUGUUACUAGCUAGGAAUAAGUUGGAAUACUUUGAUUUCUCCAAGAAUGAACAUGUAACACUAACAUGCUUUGUAUACUCCAUUCCUGUCAUUUUUCACUUGUGAAGGGUGUAAAGUUCAAAAAAUUUAGAAAAUGAUGAUUUCCAUUAAACCAUAUUAUAUUCUCCAAAUCCAAUGUUACUGUUAGAAUAGGAAUAGGUUUAUACAAUCCUAUUAGAAUAGGAAUAGAAAUAGAAAUAGGAAUAGUAAAUAGUAUCCUACUUGGUAAAGGAUUGUAUUCUAGUAUCUAUAAAUAGGGUCUCAAUGUAAUAAUGUAAACAACAACAAUUUAAUAAUAUUCUUUUCUUAUAUUUCUCACAUGGUAUCAGAUCCUCUAAGAUCUUAGUAGAAAAUCAAUGAGCUUCCGCUGCCGGCGGGUGGCACCCAUAUAUGCCGCCCGUCUGACCAAUGAUUAUGUUAGCAAAAGUUGGUCACCGUAUAUCUUUCUGGUGACUAUUUUCUCAUAUCUAAUUUGUGUAGCACCGUGCCAUCAUUCCGGUGACUACUUUCUUAUAUUUUAUUUGUGUAGCACUGUGCCAUCAUUCCAGUGACUACUUUUUCAUAUAUAAUUUGUGUAGCACUGUGACAUUCUUCCGGUGACUUACCUUUUUUUGCAUAUCUGUUUUGUGUAACACCGUGCAUCUCUCCCGGACUACUUUUCAUAUUUAAUUUGUGUAGUACCGUGGAUUUUUUUCCGACCUAUUUUCUCAGAGUUGCAUAGCAUCAUGUGUCUUUUCAGUGACUCCUCAGAUUUGAUUUGCAUAGUUCCAUUCGUCUUUUCGGUGACUCCUCAAAUCUAAUUUGCGUAGGGUUGUGCCAUCAUUUCAACCCUAUUCGUAUAAUUUUUCUUUUUCAGUUGGGUCGUGCCAUCAUUUCGACCCUACCCCUAUUAUUUCUCUUUUCUAUGGGAUCGUUCCAUCAAUUCGAACUAUCCUAUCCAUAUAAUUUAUUUUUAAAUUGUGACCUCUUUCAGUCAUCAAAUCUAAUACUGCGGCGUAUGAGCAUUUUUCGGCCAAUUUUUUCGGUGACUUUCUUGUUUAAUAUUGACUCGUCUAUUGAUUCCAACAUGAUCGAUACAUUUUAUACUAGAUUUUGAGCACUUCCGGCGACCGUUGCAUUGUGAAGAAGUCUAUAUGGAGCAACUACCUGAUUAUGUUACUCAAGGAGAGUUUAGUAGUCUUGUAUGUCAAUUGUGUUAGUCACUCUAUGGUCUAAAACAGUCUUUGCAAGUUUGGUUUAGGAAGUUCAAACCUGUAAUUAUAUCACUCUGUGUUUUAUCGGCAUUAUGCAUCAAAUUCAGUAUCUCAUGAGAAGACCAAGCACAUUGAGAUUGAUUGUCAAUUUUGUGAAGUCGAGUGAUCAACUUGCAAAUAUCUCACCAAGCCCCUCAUCGGUCCUCAUGUUAAUUACAUUUGUAACAAGCUAGGUACAUGAAUUGUAUGCACUAGCUUGAGGGGGAGUGUUAGAAUAGGAAUAGGUUUAUACAAUCCUAUUAGAAUAGGAAUAGUAAAUAGUAUCCUACUUGGUAAAGGAUUGUAUUCUAGUGUCUAUAAAUAGGGUCUCAAUGUAAUAAUGUAAACAACAACAAUUUAAUAAUAUUCUUUUCUUAUAUUUCUCACAAAGUGGUAUGGGGACCACUUUCUGAGGUAUCUCCGCUUCUUUCUCUGUUGCAUUCUCAGACUCUUCUCUAACCUCUAUCACAUCAUCUUCUUUUCUAAUCUCAACUUCCACCAUAGACGGCCUAGGUGGAUCUAUGGUUUGCUUACCCCCUCGAGUAGUAAUUGCCAUACAAAGCAUGUUGUAACACUAACAUGCUUUGUAUACUCCAUUCCUGUCAUUUUUCACUUGUGAAGGGUGUAAAGUUCAAAAAAUUUAGAAAAUGAUGAUUUCCAUUAAACCGUAUUAUAUUCUCCAAAUCCAACGUUACAAAAGUAUAUUCUAAUUCCUCCUGGUUGGCUGGUCUAUGAUCACAUUAUGGAAGCAAACCUCAGUCGCUUAUUUUACCAUCUACAUGUUAAUCAGUUGUAGUCUUCCUCUUUAACUUUACUUUUAACCUUCUUAUCUGGAAGGUUCUUUUGUGAGGAUCUCUAGUUUGUUCUCUACUGUAUCGUAAGUUGAUCUAAUUAUCACCUAACCACAUGGGAAUGUGUUCUUGACAUUUCUGCAGUUGACUUAAUGAAAAUUUGUAAUGCAGAUCAAGUCUAUGAAGGAAAUGUAUUAUUCAAAGCUCUAUCAUCUAUACCAGAAAAUUGCUUAUGAACUGCAACAGGUAUGUCAUCAACAUCCCUCUAAGUGCUUAUUAAUAGUUCAAAAUUUUGGUAGACUCCUAGCAAGUUUUGUCAACAUGCACCAAGGUGUAAUGCAUAAUGUAGUCUAUUGGUUACUGGAAACUCCUCUUAUCUCUUUGCAGGUUUCUCACACCUAUAGGCUAUUAUAGCUCCUUCUUACAUAUAUUCUCUGGCAUUUAUAUUUGAUAAAAACAACUUGAUUUACCGAACGUAAUCCUAGAAUAUUGUCAGACUGGGAAAUGAUGCAGAAAGCUCAAAACUCUAAAUUCACAUUUUUGCUUCUUUGGUUGAUUUUCUGUUAUCGUGAGAAACAGUUCUCGCAUAGUGGGAAUAUGUUGUAGUGUAGUUAACUCCUUUUCAUUUCUAGCAUCUGUAUCAUUUGUUUGUGUUGAAACAUUGUUUUUGAUUGUGAAGUCGAGGUGGAAGCCAUAAAAGGAGUUAUUUUCACAUAUCUAGGUGGACACUGCAGUGUAGAUGUCAUUUUUAUGUUAGUUUGUUUUCCUUUUGGGGAAGGAAUUAAGGCCUCCCAAGUUCAUUGGGUAAGGGCUUGAUUUAUCUGAAUUUAAAGAGCACUUGAGUCAACAUUCUGCUGAAUUUCGGGAACCUUGCGAGCUGUGUUGUUUAUCUCUUUAUGCCAUUUCUUGAAUUUUUCUUCCUUUUUCUUUGCCGUGGGAGGUACUUGAAGCAUGUAAUUCAAAAGAUUGCAGAGGGAAAGAAACAGGACUGUCACUAAACUGAUUUUUUUUACUGAUUUCAAGCAGAACUCUCUUCAUCAGUGUCGUACAAAUGAGCAAAUUGAAAAGCUCAAGAUGUGCAAGAUAACGUUGGAACGCAUUAUGCUUUACUUGCAGCUUAACAAGCAUUAUAUUCAACUUGCUCACAAGGAGAAACUGCUUUCGGUUGAGAAGCACAUAAAUUUCUUUCUUAGUCCCUAUCAGCCACCAAAGCCUACUUCUUCUCCAGUGCAGGAGCAACUUCCUCAGUCUUACAUGCAGCUUCAGCUACCACAAUCACUUGAUGGUCAAACUAAUCCAUCGAUGCAACCCGUACAGGCAAACCUCGGUACCCUACAGCAAAAUUCAAACGCCCUGCAACAGUCAUUUCCUAAGAAGUGCAAGCAGCAAACUGUUGCAGAACCAGCAAUUAAGAGAGCAGUCCCACCAUCGGCAGAUGCAGCAGCAACUUUUUAAAAGACAGAAGUUAAUGCAACAGCAGCAAGCGAAGCAACAGUAGACCAUGCUAUUGCCAACCCACCAGAUGUCACAGCUUCAACAGUCUUCGAUCCAGCUUCAGCAACCACAAUCCCUUGAUGGUCGAAACUAAUCCACAGAUGCAACAAAACAAUAUUAUUGACUUGCAACAUGAUUGUUUGGAUAAUUCAAUUGCUUAUAACUCGUGCACUUGUUAACUCAUGCACCCUUCCCUAGAUUAUGUGAAGUAUUGCAAUUAUUAUGAUAAAUUACUUAAAUUUCAUGUGAGAAUUCAGGAUAAAAUUUGAAAUAUCCAUCUCCAUAUUUUUCUCUGUUUGGAUGUUUAGCAACACUUGCAAGCAAAGGUCACAAUUUUUCUCAAAAAUUUUACGGUCUCUUUUUUCCUUCAAUUUAUUUCUUUGAUUGGUAUGUUUCCUUCAAUAAUGAUACUAUUUUAAUUGGUUUUCAAAUAUAAAAGUUCAUUAUACUAUUUUGAUGAUAAUAUUAACUAUAGUUUACUUGUCAAUUUGUUGUCUUAGCAAAGUUUUAUAGCAUUAAACCUAACAAUGGUAUAGUGUAUUCAUCAUUUUGAAAUCUUGGAUACACCUCUAAGCACAAAAAAACGAACUAUGAAUAAAACAUUUGAUUGAUAUUCUUUUUUUUUUUUCGUUUCAGAACUCUUGAGAUAGAUAAGACUAGCAAAAUUUGUAACCUACUAGUCUCUGGGAACGUGUGUUGCAUGUUUGUUUUGUACGAAUAUACAUUUAAGUUACAAAUCAUAAAUGAAUUGAUUUUCAUAUUGAAUAGGAGAUGAUUUAUGAAGUAACUAUAUAGUAAGGAUGAUGAUUUUUAAAAAGAAACAUAUAUAUAUGAUGUGAUUAAAUAUAUGUUUCUAUGUACAAAUGAAAUAUGUAUCUUUAUAAGAUUAUAAUCUCGUUUUUAUAAUUACAUAUAAGAAGUUGUAGUGGGGAAUGAAAUUUACUUUUUAUUCAAGUAUUAUAGAGAUUCGAACAACAUAUGUCUUCUUAUGAUGGAUAGUAAAUCAUUAUGAAUUUUAUGGAAUAUAUCUACAAAGAAAUAUAUAACAGUAUCAUGGUUAGUUCAAUCAUAAUAAAAUCACUUUAUAAGCAAAUAAGAAGGACAAUCUCAAAUUCAUGUUCCAUAUUACAUAAAGCUUGCUAAAAAAAUAGUAAAUGCUAAAACUUCUUUUUCUCAACAAAAUACCUAAAGCAACAAGUUUUAAAAUUUCAUAGAAAAAGAAAAUUUUAGUUACACAAUAUAACGAAGAUACAAAAUGCAUCAAUAAUAUUUAAUAUUCCGUCUUUUCUUCUUUUUACUUCACACCCCAACCCUAGGUGAGGCGGACAAGUACCAUACGAACACAUGCUUUACAAGCGACGUAUGAUGAGAAAGUAAACGUCUAUGCAGAUAGAUAUACUGAUGAGAAGCUUCAUAUACAACACAUGUUGACUAGCUGAACCGAUACAUGUGACAAGUGAAACUAUGAAUAUAGAUGAUAGCUUUACAAUGUCUACAAAACCUCUACUAGAAUCCAUGACUGUACCACCGAAAAUAUGCAUAGUAAAGACUCGGCAAAGCCCCGAAUCAACCUGGAGCUCACCAACAACCGUUGAGUAUCAUGUGCUUCUAUUGGGGAGAUCUACUAGUUGAGUACUUGUACCUGCAGCAUGAAAUGAAGUGUUCCCAAUAAGGGACGUCAGUACGAAAGAAUCUACUGAAUAUGUAAGGCAUAAUACAACCAUAUGUAAAAUGAGAGCUCAAGUGAAACCAAAUACCAAUAGAUAAGGAUUAGAGACCACCUUUGCUUAUACUGGUGGAAUCGUGUAUGUUACAUUCUUUUCUUUACUUUUCUGUGCAUUAUAAUAUUUAUAAGAUGUAUGACACAAAUGACCAAUUGAUCAUUGGUAGAAGAGGAUGACCCAUUCUAGGCAUUUUAACCCAUGGGAUGUUGUCCUCAUAAUUCCACAAAUUAGGAUCGGCCCAUGCUAGGCUUUCGCCCCUGAGCUGCUACCUUUCCAUACCAAUUGGGAUCGGCCCAUGCUAGACUUUUGCCCCUGAGCUAUCACCCUUCUAUACCAAUUGGGAUCGACCCAUGCUAGGCAUUUGCCCCUGGGCAGCCGCCCAUAAUUAUACAGAUAGCUUCACUUAAAUUCUUUAUCUUUGAGAUUGUUGUUUUGAUGUUCAUAACUCUUUUGAGAUUGUUCUUUUGAUAAUCAUAACUCUUUUGAGAUUGUUGUUUUGGUGGUCAUAAUCAUUGUUGAGAGUUGGAACUACGAACCACUAGUAGAAGACAUGUGAAUAUGGACGUACGAUAAUAACAAUGACAUGGGAAGCAAAUAUGAUACCAACGUAAUAUUUAGGAGCUUAUAUGACUCAGUAAGCAUUUUGACAUCUCAAAUUAAAGCACAUAUCAAGUGAAGACAUUUAACUUUCAGCCAAGAAAUUUGAACUCUAUAUGGUAGCCAAAUACUCACUAACUCAAAUACAAGGUAUACAUGAAAGUGGAACCAAGGGAGAACGUAGGCAGAUUCAACUCAAGGACAAAUACAUAUUCCAAGUAAGUACAUAUAAAAUGUACAAUAGAGCAAGUAGGGAUCUUGUGAGGUAACAUUAUAGUCUAACACAAUGGGAGUAAUAACCAAUAAAGGGAACAUAUGAACAUGUGACAAGAUGACAUAUAUAUAGACAAUUGAAGCAAGUUGGCAUGAUAUGGGCAGAUUGUAUAUCCAACAUAUAAACAUAUGUACCAUGUGUAAUCUAGGAUCAUUUUGAUUUAUAUAAGGGAAAUACAUGCCAAUGGUACUUUGACGAUGAAACAAGUUUAAACCUUGCAUGCUAAUACUUGGUAGUGUAAGCACAUACAUUUAGUAACAAACUCGUAUUAGAGUGCUCAAACAAGCUCAUAACUGAAUUUAAAGAGGACUCCCCUCCAUGGCUGUCCCAACAUGCACUAAUCACCAGAAUAUCCUCCCCAAUAUUACACCAUGUAAAAGGAACAAAUUCCAACUCACUAACACAUACCAAAUGUCCUAAUUAACUCAAGAACAAGAGAGAGAAAAUUGCAGUAGCUUACCUUGCUGGACAGAACUACCACUUGCUAAGACUUGGAUUCUUCAAGGUAAAUGUUGUCCUCCUUAAACUUGUCUUAAAAUUAUACCUUUCCAAAUAGGAUUGAAACUCCCUAAUAUUCAAGAACCCUAAUGGUAUUUAAUGGCUGUUUUAUGAAGCUAAGCGAAAGAAGAGAGAAAGCUCUUGAAAUCAGAUUUUUUUGUCAAAGUAAAAAUGGUUGGAAAAAGCUGAUAUCAAUCCCUUUUAAAAGUACCUGCUUUGGUCGACUUCCUCACUCAUUUUGGGCCAUAAUUUGUCAAGUAGGUUAUCCACCUACUUGGACUUUUCACUUGGGCCUUGGCUGUCCAUUUUCCCCUUAUUCUUCUAAUCAACUUGGGCCAGAUUAAUGAAAGUAGGUGGUAGUGUACUUGGCCCAAUAACAUGGUCAAAAGAGUUUUAGUAGGUGAUGCACCUACUUAAUCCUUUAGGCUGGUCAAUAAGUCAAAGUAGUUGAUGUACCUACUUGGUCCUUUGGGCUGGUCAAUGAGUCAAAGUAGGUGAUGCACCUACUUGGUCCUUUGGGCUGGUCAAUAAGUCAAAAUAGGUGAUGCACCUACUUGUCACCUACUAGCUUAGUUAAGUCAAGCAAGCACCUCAAUAUUUUAUUCCAUUUAUAGACCUUAAUACCUUUAACUUAACUCAAAACGUUUAUACACUAUGUCACUUUAAACUUUAGACUCAAAUACCACCUUAUGAUCUCAAGUUUAACUACUUCCAUCGACAUCAACUUAAUCGGGUCGCAUCAAAAUCUACGGACAGUUUGCUUUAAACCUAUUAUAUUGUCACUAGUCGCAUAGGAAACCGAGUCCAUAACUAUUCCACAAGGCACAUUAUAAGCGUCAUGCAAAUAGAACUAGUACACGUAGAAUACAGGGUGUUACAAUUUUCUUCAAUUCUUCCUCUUCCGAAUUGAGCGUAUAUAGUCACAAAUCACAUAUGAAUUGAUUUUCAUUUCAUAUAUAAAUAAGAGAUGGUUUGUGAAGUAACUAUAGUAAGAAUAAUCAUUUUUAAAAAGGAACAUCACAUUCACAAAUUAUCAAUUAUUCAAUUACUAUUGUCCUACGCAACCCAACUUGUUGUAAAGAAUAAAAAUCUUAAAUCUCUUUAAAAAAAAAUACAUCACAUGCAUGUAGAUGAAUGUCAUCUUAUACACAGAAUUGCUCUUUCUUUUAUACAAUCGAUUACCCAAGAAAGAAUCGGUACAUCGAUUUGUGUACCGUCCUUCAAUUGUAAAUAAAUAAAUAAAAAUUAAACAAAAAGUUAUAAUAUUACAUGUUGACUUGUUUUUUAUGUGUUGGGAAAAAUACUACUGUAACACCCCGUAUUCGAAAAAGACCAAAAAUACAGAUUUCGAGAAGUUGUAGGUGCAACUUACGAUCACCAUCCACGGACAGUAGGUCAGACCACGGCCCGUGCUGGUGGUCCGUGGUUCACCACUGCAACCCNNNNNNNNNNNNNNNNNNNNNNNNNNNNNNNNNNNNNNNNNNNNNNNNNNNNNNNNNNNNNNNNNNNNNNNNNNNNNNNNNNNNNNNNNNNNNNNNNNNNNNNNNNNNNNNNNNNNNNNNNNNNNNNNNNNNNNNNNNNNNNNNNNNNNNNNNNNNNNNNNNNNNNNNNNNNNNNNNNNNNNNNNNNNNNNNNNNNNNNNNNNNNNNNNNNNNNNNNNNNNNNNNNNNNNNNNNNNNNNNNNNNNNNNNNNNNNNNNNNNNNNNNNNNNNNNNNNNNNNNNNNNNNNNNNNNNNNNNNNNNNNNNNNNNNNNNNNNNNNNNNNNNNNNNNNNNNNNNNNNNNNNNNNNNNNNNNNNNNNNNNNNNNNNNNNNNNNNNNNNNNNNNNNNNNNNNNNNNNNNNNNNNNNNNNNNNNNNNNNNNNNNNNNNNNNNNNNNNNNNNNNNNNNNNNNNNNNNNNNNNNNNNNNNNNNNNNNNNNNNNNNNNNNNNNNNNNNNNNNNNNNNNNNNNNNNNNNNNNNNNNNNNNNNNNNNNNNNNNNNNNNNNNNNNNNNNNNNNNNNNNNNNNNNNNNNNNNNNNNNNNNNNNNNNNNNNNNNNNNNNNNNNNNNNNNNNNNNNNNNNNNNNNNNNNNNUGCAUGAAUUUCAGAACCGUAGCUAUGUAUUUCUUUAGUUCUUGAAUUACAUAUGCUAGGUCAGAUAUUUUAGUUAUUCAGUUAUACAUGCCUCAGUUAUUAAUGCAUCAUUAUCAGAUUAAUUGUUGCAUUCUCAGUUUGCAUGUUCAGUUUCGAGCUAUCUAGUAUUUACAGAAACUCAGUCAUAAUGUGUUAACCACUUAAUCUAUUGGGAGUAGCAUAAUACCGAGUUGGACUAGGGUUUCAGCGUACCCAUAUAGUCCCAGAACUACUAGCCACGUAGGUGUAAGUCCCCUCUGUAGGCAACAUUAGUUUAGUGAUCACGCCAGCAUGCCUCUAUACCUUUGGCCGGGUAUAUUGGGUCCUCUCGAUGGGGCGUAUACAUCGGACUCCACAUUUAGCUCAUGUGGUUUUAUGUCGGUUAUUAGUAGCUCCCACAGUUCAGUCAGACUCUAUUGCAUUGACCACAUUUACAGUUCAUUCAGUAUUCAGUCAGCAUGUUAUAAAUUGGUCAUUGCAUUCAGUUAGCUCAGUAUUCAGUAUUUUUCAGUAUCUAUAUCAUGUUCAGAUUAUUUCAUUGCUUUAUUGCUUUGUUUAGUUAUAUGUUAUUUCAGCUUUACUCUAUCCUGCAUGCUCAGUACCUUUCAAGUACUGACGCAUACGUGCGCUACAUCUUCUCGUGAUGUAGGUUUGGGUUCUCAGCAUCCAGAUCACGCUUAGAUCGAUUUCCGAUCUUCAGUUCAGCAGCAUCAGUGGUGAGUCCUCAUUCUUCGAGGACUAGUGACAUGUUUAUCUUUAUCGCUUUUAGUCUUCAGUUUCAGUUUUGCUAGAUCUAGUUGGGGCAUGUCCCAACAUUUCUAGUCAGUUUAGAGGCUUAUUUCAGACAUAGUUAGAUUCAGCUUAGUAUUUUGAGUUUGAUAUUUCUUUUGUAUUAAACUCUCAGAUUUGAUAUAUUCAGCUAUAGUAAAUGGGUAUUCCCCAUCUUUUUAGAUUUAUUUAUGAUUUAGCUUCCGCAUCAGUUUAUUAUCUUUAGUAUGCUCAUGAUCAUGCCAGCAGGGUUAACUUGGGAUCACUUGUGGUCCUAGGUCCCGUGUCCGCGUCUCGGGGGUAGUCUCGAGGCGUGACAACUACAAUAUUGAUAUUAGAUUGGAAUCGCAAAAUAGUAAACAACUUAUUACAAACACUGUGUCGUGGCAAGCCACUGGCUUGAAAGCGAUUUCGGCCCGACUCUGGUGCAAAUCGUUGUAGCCGGUCGCUCCCCAAGGUUCCACAGUUACUCUAAAAAACGUGCACUCAUGGCUGAAUGUUUGGAGUUGCACAAAAACAAUUACCCGGAAAUCCACAAUAGGAAGAAUGAUUGUUUAAGCCAAUAAAGAAAUUGUUGAAGGAGAUAGUAAAUGAAAGAAAGGACUUAGUUUUCUUUUCUGUGUUUAGCUCCCAAAUGAUAUCCUUAAAUAGGAAAAUUAUUUACGUUUUCAUCCAUCAAAAGAAUGUAAGAAACUAACGUAUAAUCAAUGUAAUGAAACAUUACUCUUACUUUAAUGAUAAAUUUGUCAUAAUACAAAAGUAACUUCAAGUCUUCUGAAUAUUUUCUUAUAAGGUUAAGAAACUGACACUUGCGAUAAAUGUGAACCAUUAAUGUGGAAGUAACUCUCCUAUUUCACAUAUACUGACGACUUAACAAUGUUCACGUAGAUUAAUUACAAAGAAUUAAAAGAUGUAACUUAUCCUUUGCAUUAAAAGAAAAGGAAUAUCAUCCACAAUCCCCCACUAAUGCAAAGAUAAAGAAUAAGAAUAAUUUUUGGGCAAAAGAAAGGAACAUGUACUUAAGUGUCAAUAUCAUUCGAUUUGAAUUGACACGUAAUGAAAUGAGGCAACAACACAUAUCCACAAAGUAGGGGUGUGCAAAAAUCGAACCGAUCAAUAAAUCGAACCGAAAAAAGUUUUAUUGGUUUAUUGUUAUUGGGUUAAUGGAUUAACGAUUUUUUAAUGGUUUUAUAAUAAAAAUAUUGGGUUAUUGGUUCGGUAUUGGUUUUUAAUAUUGGGUUAUUGGGUAAACCGACAACCCAUUAAGACUAGUAAUUUAUUGCAUUUACUUGUAUAUAAAUAUUAUAUAUUAAUCUCAAUAUUUUACUAGUUACUGUCUUUAUACUUUAGCCUUCAAUUCACAUUCUAAAGUGACGUUUAGUUCACAACUUCACAUUAUACAAAACAUCAAAAUUUAAAGUAAAAACCCUAUUCCUCUUAAUUUCUCUUUGUGUUACACUUGUAUAGUUUUUUCAUUACAUUAUUGUGGUGUCGCGCCAAAUUUAUUAGAGAAGUCAUAUAUUUAUUUUAUAAGUAUUUUCUUACUGGUUAAACCGAAAACCGAACCGUAAAGGACCAAAAUCGAUAAACCAAAAACCAAUAAAAAACCUCUUAUUGGUUUGGUUAUUGGUUUAACAUAUUUAAAAAUAAAAAACCGAUAAUACAUAAAAUCAAACUGAACCGACCGAUGCACACCCCUACCACAAAGUGAAGUACUCUUGAGCUAAAUGGACAUAAGUUGAGACCCCCACAACACAUACCAUAUUCUUGAUUUUAUGCAAACUCCGCGAUACAACAAAGUGCUUUUAUGGUCAUGUGCACACACCUUGGAUCUUAUGACUGCUUUAGAAAGAUGACCCAAUUCUUUCAUAAAAGGUGACCACACCUUUACACUGUGAUUCCAUCAAGCCUAUCUCAAAUAGACCACCUUAAGGCUAUAGAAUCAUUAAGAGCAAAAUAAGCUCAACCUUAUAAAACACUGCCUCACGCCAUAGGGAUAGAAAAUGUGGUGUAUAUUGAGGCCUAACAAGUCCACCACAUUACCUCAAUCAAUGGGCUUUAGCCCCAUCCCCAUCGACGUUUCAAGGAUUAUUUUUCUUGUCAAGCCCUUGGUCAUAGGAUCCACCAAAUUUCUUUUUGGGACCUUACAUAUUCCAAGGAAAUAACACCCAAUUUCAACAAUUAUUUAACUGCACCAUGUCUGAUGUGAAUAUGUCCCUUUUUUCCAUUAUACACACUAUUUUUGGCAAUUCCAAUUGCUGCUUGUGAGUCACAGUUAAGAGAGACUGGUGAAGCUUGUCUUCCCCACAAUGGCAUAUCUACCAAAAGAUUUCUCAGUCACUCAGCUUCUUGCCCUGCCAAUUCGAGAGCAAUGCAUUCUGAUUCCAUGGUAGAACAUGUUAUACAAGUCUGUUUGGAAGACUUUCACUAAAUAGCACCCGCACCCAAAGUAAACACAUAGCCACUGGUGGAGCUAACUUCAUCAUUGUCAGUUACCUAGUUUGCAUCACAAAAACCUUCUAAAAGAGCAGAAAAUUUAUUAAAAUUCAAACACCAAUUCAUAGUACCUCUUAAAUACAUUAGCAAGCGAUGAAGACCAUUCCAGUGUUCACUACUAGGAUUAUGAGUAUAUCUACUCAAUCUACUAACAUCAUAAGUUAUAUCAGCCUGAGUAUAGUUCAUGAGAAACAUUACACUACCAAUUAUUUAGCAUAUUUAGUUCGAGAAACGCUAAAUUCUUUUUUCUUCCUCAAGUGUAUGCUAGGAUCAUAAAGAGUUCUCACUGGAACUACAUCAAAAUAAUCAAAUUUUUUCAACAUCUUUUCAAUGUAAUGAGACUGACACAAAGAGAAACCAUUAGCAGUUCUUUUGAUUUUAACUCCAAAAAUCACAUUUGCUUCACCAAGGUUUUUCAUUUCAAAUUUAGAAGACAAAAAGUUCUUGGACUCAUUAAUAACAUUCACAUUAGGACCAAAUAUUAACAUGUCAUCUACCCAUAAACGUAUAAUGACACAAUCCAAACCUAUCAUUUUAGAAUAAACGCAUGUAUCAAAUGAAUUCACAACAAAGUCAUUAUCCACUAAUGUGAUAUUAAAUUUUCAUACCAUUGCUUAGGUGCUUGGUUUAGUCCAUAUAAGGAUUUCUCAAUUUGCAUACUUUAUCCUCUUGUCCUGGAACCACAAAACCCUCUGGUUGAGUCAAAUAGAUCUCUUCCUCUAAAUCACCAUUUACAAAUGCCGUUUUGACAUCCAUUUGAUGUACUAAAUCAUGAAUAGUGGCUAAUUGAAAAGUAGUAAACAACUUAUUACAAACACUGUGUCGUGGCAAGCAACUACCUUGAAAGCGAUUUCGGCCCGACUCUGGUGCAAAUCGUUGUAGUCGGUCGCUCCCCAAGGUUCCACAGUUACUCUCAAACACGUCCACUCGUGGAGCAAUCUCAUAGUUAGGAAUAUGACAUCAGAUUGCAAACAAUAGUUAUACGUCCACCAACAAUCAAGAUUGAAAAAUUCUGCAAAUCAAAUUCAUUGAUAAUUUAUCACCUUUGAAUAGAAGCAUGGAAACAAACUUUCUUGUGGAUCAAUCUGAUAAUUAGAAAUGUGACACAUCAAUCUUUUCAAUCGAAGUACGGUUGACUGCGAACAAUAAUUAUACGUCCGUCAACAGUCAAGAUUGAAAAAUUGUACAAAUUUAAAUUCAUUGAUAACUCAUCACUUUUGGCUAGAAGCAUGGUAAGAAAAAGAACGAUGCUAGGGUCUUCUAACGAAAGAUAAAGGAAUGAUACUUGAAUAAAAAAUCGUAGUUAAUUACUAGACUAGCACUUAAAUUAGCUAUGACAGUAUCGGUGUGUCUUAAAUGUUUGAUCUUAAUGACAUUGAAUAGAGGAUUUUAAUGCUUGCUUGGAGGGUGUAAUUCCUUAUGCGGUAAAUCAACAACAUUAGAUUUAGUUCUUUCCUUUUUUUUCUUACUUUCCUGGGUUGAUUUGAUCUCUUUUCGAGCUAUAGCAUGGUUAAGUGAUUUUUCUAUUAUAUUAAAAAAUAGAGUUGAAUAACUUUUUGAAAUAAUUGUCAUUAAUUGAGUUAGCUUUAUAUUACAAAACAAAAUUGACUAACUUCUUAUAAUAAAAUAAAAUAAGAAAAUUUUUAGAGAUAAUUAUCAUUAGUUGAGUGACCAUUAUUUUAAAAAAUCAAAGUUGAUUAAAAAAUAUUACUCCCUCCGUUUCAAAAAGAGUGGUCUAGUUUGACUUGGCACGGAGUUUAAGAAAAUAAAGAAAACUUUUAAGUCUUGUGAUCCUAAAUUAAAGUUAUGCUAAACGUACAAAAUUGUUCUGUAAUUGUGUGUUGGUCCUUAUUUUAUUCGAGUUGAAUCAAAUUGCAGCACUUAAACACCAAAAAAUCAUCAUGAAACUGUACAUAACACAGCACUAGACAACAACAUCAAACCAUUAAAAUAUCAAUACCAAACUACUACAUCAAACUACCAAAAAUUUGCACCAAACUGCUGCACAGACAGUAGCACUCGAGCACCAAAAAUCAGCACCAAACUGCACAAAAAAUAGCACAUAAAUUGUGCCAAACUACACAAAAACUGCACCAAAAAACAUCACCAAGCUACCCCAAACUGCACAAAAACAACACCAAACUUGACAAGGUUUUCUUUACUAUAGCAGCGUCAAUGAAGAAAAGAAGAGGGAAAAAGAAAAUCAAGAGAGUAGCUGAAUUACAACGUUUGUUAACGGUGUGUAUAAAAGGUAGAUACAGACCAAACUUGACAAGAUUGUAGUUAGUUAAGGGACUAUUUCCGUUAAGUAUAUAGUUUAGGGACUAUUUUAGACCUAGUGUGAUAGUUUAGGGACCAUUUAUGUCAUUUUCUCGAGUUCUUAGUAUAAUCCUACUAAUGAGGUCUCUCAGUAGAUAGACUCUUGGCUCAAAAGAAGUAUUAUCAUUAAUUGUAAUAAAAAUAUUAUCCAACACAAGUGCAAUUAUGAAUGGUAAUCAAAUUUGUAGUGGAGAUUCGUACUUUUAUAAUAGUAUAGAUUUAAAGAUGGAAGUAUUAAUAUAUUACCAAAUACCCAAUAAAAGUGGAAAUCACUUAACUUUCUUAGACAAGUACAUUUGGACGUAAGGAUGUGGCGUAGUUGUCAAUAAAGGUCGAGAAUCAUAAGGUCUUAGGUUUGAAUCGUACAGGAGAUAAAAACACUCUAAUUGAUUCAUAAACUAAAAAACACUAGGUGAUUCUUCUUAUCUUUCAUAGUCUUAGUUGACUAAGUUACCUAGUACUUAUUGCUGGUGGGAGGUGCUCGGACACCAUAGACAUUAAAAAAAUUGUAAUAAUAUACCUGAAAUAUGUAACAUUUGUUGUAAAAUUUUCUUGAAAUUUUAAUGAUGUAAGCAAUCAAGUUCUUUAAUAAUUGUGUUAUCUUCAAUGUUUGCUUUACUUAUAGCACCUUUACAUUCAACAGGUCAGAUGGAAAAUGCAAAUGGAGUUGAUUGGCAGGAAGAGGUUUACCAAAAGGUAUGGUUUGCGAUGGUACUUUUAAUUUUCAAAGGAUUUUGAAAAUUGUGGAAAUUUGAUAUGUGGAUUUUGAUAAACUGAUUGGUUAUAACAUUAUAAAGAAAUAGCUGAAUGUUUCGAAAUAUUACCUAUGAUUAUAGAGUAAUAAAAGAGGUUUACCAUACCAAGUGUUCAACUAAAUUCAUGGUCGUACCCCUCCACGCAAGGUGCUUUAUGUAAUCCAUUUCUUAGAAGAAAUAGAAAUCUGAUCAUGUUAACAUGUAACUUGUUAGAAACGAUCAUGAAACCUCACUGUCGAUGGUGCUCUAUGUAAGCCUGUCUUGGUCCAAUAUUGUCAAUGACAAAAAAAUAGUUUCACCUGCACUGCAUAAUUUAAAAGUGAAGCAUAUUUUGAUAAAUUAAUUGAUUACAGAAAAUUAGUUGUUGAGUGUUGAGAUCAUAUUAACUUAAUUCAUGAGAUAAUUUGUCUGUAAGUUCGGAUCAAAGUCUUCAUGGCAUGUCACCAAUUUGUUUUAUUUCCCGGUAACAAAAAUCUUUAAUUGCUAGGUUGAGGGAUAAACCUAUUUGUGCAAGAUGUAUAUAUAUGUGAAAAGACAUCUAUUCAUCUGUAUUAGUUGGUAUAUUUUUUUCUGUUUCUUAUUUUAUUUCUUAAAAUAAAGAAAUCAAUGCUUCCGUCAUCGAAAAUUGUCCUUCUCUACUUACGCGACUUGGUUUACUAGCUAGUACUAAGUUGGAAUACUUUGAUUUCUCCAAGUAUUGAGAUAGAUCUCAUGCACGUUCAGCUUCUACGACACUCCAAUUCAGCAGGAAACGGCCCCCACCUUCCUCACAAUCAACUUGUGGGAAACCAAGUUCUAUUAGUGGUCCUUCCAAACUAUGUUUGUCUUAUUUAGGGACUUGGAAGCAAAAGAAAGACCAAUAAUCCAUCCGAGUAUCAAAUACAUUGAUAUUAGGAGGUAAUACAUGUGUGGUAAUGUAAGAAACCAAGUUCUAUUAUUAGUUCGUCCAACCUAUGUAUGUCUUAUUUCAGGAUUUAGUUGUCAACUACAUCACUAUUAUUUCAUUGUGUUCCCUUGUUUUUUACUUCAUUGAUGAGAAAGUUGUAAAGUUUAAAAAAAAUGGUGAUUGCUAUUAAACUGUGGUCUGUGUUAUAUCUUCCAACCUAACUUUAAGAAAGUAUAUUCUAAUUCCUACUGGUUGGGUUGGUCUACGAUCACAUUACGGAAGUUGUUUUCUUGAUAUGAUCAGUACCAAGAAGCUAAAGGAAGCAAAAAUUAGUUACUUGUUUUAACAGUUACAUAUUAAUCAGUUGUAGUCUUCCUCUUCUACUUCACUUUUAACCUUUUUAUCUGGAAGGUUCUUUUAUGAAGAUUCUCCAGUUUGUUCUCUACUGCAUCGUAUAGUUGAUCUAAUUAUCACCUAACCACAUGGGAAUGCAUUCUUGACAUUUCCGCAAUUGACUUAUUGAAAAUUUGUAAUGCAGAUCUAGUAUAUGAAGGAGAUAUAUUUAUCAGAACUCAAUGAUUUAUACGAGAAAAUUGCUCAUAAAGUGCAGCAGGUAUGUCAUCAACACCCUCUUAAGUGCUUCAUCAUAGUUCCAAAUUUUGGUUCACUCCCUUGCAAGUUUCGUCAAAUGACACACCAUCAUUUGCCUAUAGCAUGCCCAAGGUGUAGUGCAUAUUGUAUUCUAUUGGUUAUUGGAAACUCUUCAAACUGGGAACUGAUGCAGAAAGCUCAAGACACUAAAUUCUCAUUUUGUCUUCUUUAAUUUGGUUCCUUUCCUGUCGAUUGUCAUCUUUAGAAACAGUGCUCUCAUAGUUGUAAAGCGGCUAAUUCCUUUAGCAUCUGCAUUAUUUUUGUGUUGAAGCAUUGUGAGUGAUAGUAAAGUCGAGGUGGUAGUGGAUACCAUAAAAGAGUUAUUUUUCACAUGUAAUUUUUCUGUUCGUGUUUUUUUUUUCUUUUUUCGGGGAAGGAAUUAAAGCCUCCAUAAUUCUUCGGACAAGGGCUUGAUUUAUCUGAAUUUAAAAGCACUUGAAUCAACAUUCUGUUGAAUUGUGUAAACCUUGCAAGCUAUGUUAUGUAAUUGAAGCAUGAAUUUUAAAAGUUUGCAAAGGACAAAAAACAGGACUGACUAAACUGAAUUCUUUUUACUGAUUUUAAGCAUAACUCUCUUCAUCAGCGUCUUCAAAAUGAGAACAUUGAAAAACUCAAGAUGUUCAAGGUGACGCUGGAACACAUUAUGCAUUUCUUGCGGCUUAGAAAGCAGGAUAUUCAACUUAAUCACAAGGGCAAGCUGGUCUCGGUUGAGAAGAACAUAAGUUUCUUUCUAAGGUUCAAUUGGGCACUCAGCAGGACUUCUUCUUCUCCACAGCAGGGGGAACUUCAUCAUGAUAACAUAACCUCAUUCAGUACACAAAGUGGAACGAACCCCGUACAGGCAAACCUCGAAUCCCUACAGCAAAAUUCAAACGCGCUGCCACAUUUACUUCCUAUACAGCCCGUGCAGCAAACGUUGCCGAACCAACAAUUAACACCGCUGUGCAACCGGCUGCUGAUUCAGCAACAACUUCUUCGAAGGCAGCGGUUAAUGGAACAUCAGCAAGCAAUGAACUCACUGCAGAAGUUAAUGCAACGGAAUAAUCCCACAAACUUGCAGCAUAAUUCCUUGUCUGGAGUAUCGACAAAUUCCAACACUCAGCAAUACAUGAUAAAUUCAGUACAGCCUGGUUUCAAUUUGGAUUUGGGACAGAGUAAUUCUUUGAACUCCCUGCAACAGGUGUCUACUGAAUUUUUGCAACAGAAUCUUGUUAACAAUCUACAACAUGAUAACAUAAGCUCAUUCAGAACACAAAGUGGAACGAAUCCCAUACAAGCAAACCUCGGUUCCCUACAGCAAAAUUCGAGUGUCUGGCAGCGAAUGUCGCAGAGCCAGCAAAUGUUGCAGAACCAGCAAUUAAGACAGCAGUUACACAAUCGGCAGAUGCAGCAGCUACAUUUUCAUAGACUGAAGUUAAUGCAACAGCAGCAAGCAAAGCAAGAGUAGACCACACUAUUGCCAACCCACCAGACGUCGCAGCUUCAACAGUCUUCCAUGCUGCUUGAGCAACCACAAUCUCUUGAUGGUCGAAACUAAUGCACAGAUGCAAUCCGAACAGGGUUCCAUGGAAGGCAUUGCAACAAAACAAUAUAUCGAUUUGCAACAUGAUUGUUUGGAUAAUUAAAUUGUUUAUGUUUCGUGCACUCGUGAACACAUGCACCCUUCCCAAGGUUAUGUGAAGUACUGCAAUUAUUUUGAUAAAUUACUUAAGUUUCAUGUGAGAACUUAGGGUAAAAUUCGACAUAUCCAUCUCCAAAUUUUUCUUUGUUUGGAUCUUUUGCAACACUUUUACAAACAACGGUCACAAUUUUUCACAAUAUUUUAUGGUGUAUUUUUUAAGAAAAAAAAAUUCUUUGAUUCGUACGUAAAGUGUGUUUCCUUAAAUAAUGAUACUAUUGUAAUCAGUCUUCAAAUAUAAAAUUUGUUAUACUAUCUUGAUGAUAAUGUGGAUAUUAUUUCUUUUCUUUUAAUGCAAAGGAUAAGUUCAUCUUUUAACUCUCCGUAAUUAAUGUGAACAUUGCUAAGUCGUUAGUAUAUGUGAAAUAGGAGAGUUACUUCCACAUUAGUGGUUCACAUUUAUCUCAAGUGUCAGUUUCUUAACCUCAUAAGAAAAUAUUCAGAAGACUUGAAGUUACUUUUGUAUUUAUGACAAAUUUGUCAUUAAGUAAGAGUAAUGUUUCAUUACAUUGAUCAUACGUUAGUUUCUUACAUCUUUUGAUGGAUGAAAACGUAAAUAAUUUUUCCUAUUUAAGGAUAUCAUUUGGGAGCUAAACACAGAGAAGAAAACCAAGUCCUUUCUUUCAUUUACUAUCUCCUUCAACAAUUUCUUUAUUGGCUUAAACAAUCAUUCUUCCUAUUGUGGAUUUCUGGGCAAUUGUUUUUGUGCAACUCAAAACUUUCAGACAUGAGUGCACGUGUUUGAGAGUGACUAUGGAACCUUGGGGAGCGACCGGCUACAACGAUUUGCACCAGAGUCGGGCUGAAAUCGCUUUCAAGGCAGUGGUUUGCCAUGACACAGUGUUUGUAAUAAGUUGUAUACUAUUUUGCAAUUCCAAUCCAAUAGCAAUAUUGUAGUACUUUUCCCAACAGAUAAUUAUUGUUUUUUUUUCCUUUCAAAACUCUUGAGAUAGUUAUCACUGGCAAAAUUUGCACUAUAUAAGUCAUUAAAAUUACUCUUCUUGUGUUUUGUUCUAAGAUCUCAUGUGUUCAAAAUUAAUAAUCCCUUGCCAUAUAUAAAUCUUUUUAGUUACUAAUGUUAUCUCAAUUUUUUUGUAUGAACCUUCUAUCUUAAGGACAAAUAUUGUUUUUAUCCCUCGUUAUUUUAUAUAAUUUAACAAUGGAAAAAAAUGAUAACUAUAUCAUGUAUGUCAAAUUAUUUUACCUUGUAAAAUCAAACUAUGCAAGAAUAUCUAACAGUUUUCAUUAUACCUCUCUCUCCUAUAAAAUCAGAUCAAAGAAACAAAAAUUGACCAAUCAAAGAGACAAAAAUAAAGAAGAAAAAAAAUUAAAAUAAAAUAAUCAUCAUACAUGUCUCAAAAUAGGUUUUUAUAAGUGUGAUUUUAUGAAGUUAUACAUUUGUAAUAAAUUCAACUCUUAAUUAAUUUAGUAAUGUCUCUAACUCCUAACCUUUCAUAUUCAUAAACUUCAAAUUAUUUAAUACAAAUUUAUAACUUCAUAAAAUCACACUUAGAAAAACCUAUUUUGAGACAUAUAAUUAUUACGUCGUAAAUCAAUAACAUUGAAUUUAAUUUUUUCCUUCUUACUUACUUUCAUGGUUUGGUUUGAUUUUUUUCCCAAGUUAUAACAUAAUUAAGUGACUUUUUUAAUUAUAAAAUAGAGUUGUAUAGCUUUAUGAAAUAAUUAUCAUUAGUGACAUUUAUGUUACAAAACAAACUGGACUGGCUUUUUAUUAUAAAAUAAAAUAAAAUAAUUUUUGAGGAUAUCUUUAUUUUACAAAAACAAAGUUUAUAAAAAUAUUAUUUGAGAGACUAUAUAUAAACUUAACUCUAUAUAUAUAUAUAUAUAAAUACAUAUACUAGGGCUCAAGUUAGGGUAUCAAAAAAGUUUAUCAGCGAUGUAUAUUGAUAAUAAUACUCAAGGUAGUGAUUUCCUUCAUCUUUUUUUUUUUUUUGGAUCGUUACUUGUACUUGUUUUUUUUUUCUUUCUUUUGUCAAUGAUUUUACACUAUUACUACUACUACUAGAUAUUCGUAGAAUUGCAUUGGGAAUGUAGGGUUUGAAAUCUUUCGUGUUUAUUUUUUCUGUGUGGUUUGUGGGUUAUUACAUUAGAGCGGGGUUUAUGCGAACCCGAAGGUAGCAAGUGUGUGUUUUGGUUUGGUUGGGACAAGCUAGGAUGUCAGGAUCCCAAUUAGAAUUAGGAUCCGACUGUAAAUUGCAAUUUCAAAAGUAAAUCAAUUCAGUUUUUUUGGGACAAUUUUCUCUAAUUCAUAUAAACUGGAAAAAUGGAUUUCUAAUACAAAGAAAUUGAAAAACUAAUUAAAUCUAAGAUAACGAGGGAGGAAUUGGUUUACCAGAAGUUCGUUGUUGUAUUCUCUCCAGUUUAUAACAGCCUUCAGAUAACGUGGCGGGAUCUUGACCCUUGUGCCUCAUUAAGUGGAAUUUAAUCUUGAUCGUUUAUUUUGGAAGUAGUUACUCUACUUCCACGAUUCAGCUUCGAAUUAAGUUAUACUAAGUAAGAUCAUUAUAUAUCCCGGAUUGAUUAUCCUCUUAUCCAUGAUUGUUAUCCAAUUAAAGUAACACUAUAAUCUCGAUUAGUUCGAUUGGUUAUCCCGUACGAGGUCUUAAUGUAAUUCUACUAGUCAGGUCUCUCCCAAGCUCUUAGGGUUAGACAGGCAGGCACAUCUUACUUAUAGAUAGACUCUUGGCGGCUCAAAAGAAGUGUAGAAAUUAAUUGUAAUAACAAUAUUAUCCAACACAAGUGCACUUAUGACGGGUAAUUUUGUGUGGAGCUUCGUACUUUUAUAAUAGUAUAGAUUAAAAGAUAGAACUAUUAAUAUAUUUCCAAAUAUCCAAUAAAAGUGGAAACUUAACUUUCUUACACAAGUACAUUUGGACGGAAAGGUGUGGUGUAAUGGUCAAUUAAGUGGUUGAGAACCAUGAGGUCUCAGGUUCGAAUCUCAGGGGAGACAAAAAAAACACUAGAUGAUUCUUCCCAUCAUUAAUAGGAUCAUAGCCUUAGUGGACAGAAGUGGGAGGUGCUCGGACACCAUGGUCAUCAAAAAAAAUGUAUUAAUAUGCUUGAAAUAUGUAACAUUGUCGCAAAAUUUGCUUGAAAUUUUAAUGAUGUAACCAAUCAAGUUUUUUACACUCUACAGUUCAGAUGGAAAAUGCAAAUGGAGCUGAUUGGCAGGAAGAGGUAUACCAAAAGGUAUGGUUUGCACUGGUACUUUUAAUUUGCACAAGAUUUUGAAAAUUGUGGAAAUUUGAUAUGUGGAUUUUGAUAAAUUGGCUAGUUAUAACAUUAUAAAGAAAUAGUUGAAUGUUUCGACAUAUUUCCUAUGAUUAUAGAGUAAUAGAAGAGGUUUACCGUACCAAGUGUUCAGCUAAAUUCAUGACCGUACCCCUCCACUCAAGGUGCUUUAUGUAUUCAAUUUCUUAGAGGAAAUAGAAAUCUGAGCAUGUUAAUAGGUAACUUGUUAGAAACGAGCAUGAAUCCUCGCUGUCAAUGGUGCUUGUUUAAGCCUGUCUUGGUCCAAUAUUGUCAACGACAAAAAAUUAGUCUCACAUGCACUGGCAUAACUUAGAAGUGGAGCAUAUUUGAUAAAUUAAUUGAUUACAGUAACCCGGCAACUAAAAUCUUUAAUUGCUAGUUUGAAGAUAAACCUAUUUGUGCAAGAAGUAUAUACCUGAAUAUAUGGCUAUAUGAAGAUGUUUUUUGUGAAAAGACAUUCGUUCAUCUGUAUUAGUUGGUAUACUUUUUCUGUUUUUUAUUUUAUUUCUUACAAUAGAGAAUUCAAUGCUUCGUCUUCGAAAAUCGUCUUUCUCUACUUACGCGACUUGGUUUACUAGCUAGUAAUAAGUUGGAAUACUUUGACUUCUCCAAGAAUAAACAUAUAACACUAACAUGCUCUGUAUUCUCCAUUCCGUCGUUUUUCACUUGUCAAGCCAACAAAGAACAUUACAGCAUAAGAUUACUAAGAAGCAUAGGUUUCCAACUAAACAAGAAAAAUAAUUAGGUGCUAAGUAAUUUGGUAAUCAACCUAUGAUUGUUACUAGCUUUCCUAGAUCCUUUCAGUAAGUCUAAUUUUUCUAUAACUUCUUUCUUAAUCUGUACUAACAUUAUAUCAGUAUUCACCAAUGAUCCUCUAAAAAUCUUCGAGUUCCUUGCUUUCCAUGUAUGAUAGAUCACUGCUCCCCGAAUAGCUGUGAUGAAACUGCUUCCAGUUCUUCCUCUUUAUGCCUUCCAGCACUUUCUGAACCUCACCCUUAGUUAUGGUUAGUCCUACUCACUGUUGGAUGCUAUCUCUCAAUGUCUCUAUCCAAGAUGUGUAACUGAGUCUCCAGAGAUUGACUUUUUUUGUAAGUAGUCUACCUUGUACAGCCAACCACACAAAAAAUCGAUGCUUUUGCUGUGAAAGUGCUGUCCAAAUGAGUUCUGCAAUAUUUAGUCUGCUCUGCUGCCCCAACAUAGCAUUAAAGUUCCCUGUAAUAGAAUAUUUGGACUCACCAAACACCGCAAGACUGCUGUUGGUAUUGGAAAAAGAUUAAUGCUUUGAAGGAGAUGACCGGACUUUGAUCUAGUGGUAAGAGUGUAAUAUUGGACGUACUGGAUUAGGCGCAUCUCACAAAAGUUAAGUAUUUAAGUGGAGAAGGGUAGAGAAUCAGACGUGUUAUCCACUAAGAACUGUGCCCCUAAAAAACCCAUGUUACAAGCACCCUCUCUGUAAUGAACCUCCCUCUUUUACCAGAAAAGGCGUUGUUCCAAGCAGAGGUAGAGCAGAGCACCAGCCCCGAAGUGUUCUUACUUUAUUAGUAACUCACAUCAGCAUUGAGAUCUCACGCACGGCCAGCUGCUAUGACACUCCAAUUCAGCAGGAAGCGGCCCCACCUUCCUCAUAAUCAACCUGUGGGAAACCAAGUUCUAUUAGUGGUCCUUCCAACCUACGUAUGUCUUAUUUAGGGAUUUAGUAGCAAAAGAAAGACCAAUAAUCCAUCUGAGUAUGAAAUACAUUGAUGUUAGGAGGUAAUACACGUCUGGUAAUGUAAGAAAUCAAGUUCUAUUAUUGGUUCGUCCAACCUCUUCUACUUCACUUUUAACCUUUUUAUCCGGAGGUUCUUUUGUGAAGAUUCUCUAGUUUGUUUCUCUACUACAUCGUACAGUUGAUCUAAUUAUCAUCUAACCACAUGGGAAUGCAUUCUUGACAUCUCCGCAAUUGACUUAUUGAAAUUUGUAAUGCACUUUUAACCUUUUUAUUUGGAAGGUUCCUUUGUGAAGAUUCUCUAGUUUGUUCUCUACUGCAUCGUACAUUUGAUCUAAUUAUCACCUAACUACAUGGGAAUGCAUUCUUGACAUUUCUGCAUUUGACUUAUUGAAAAAUUUUAAUGCAGAUCAAGUAUAUGAAGGAGAUGUAUUUAUUAGACCUCAAUGAUUUAUACGAGAAAAUUGCUCAUAAAGUGCAGCAGGUUAAACCCCCCCCCCCCCCCAAGUGCUUCAUCAUAGUUCCAAAUUUUGGUUGACUCCCUUGCAAGUUUCAUCAAAUGACACACCAUCAUUUGCAUAUAGCAUUCCUAAGGUGUAAUGCAUAUUGUAAUCUAUUGGUUACUGGAAACUCCUCAAACUGGAAACUGAUGCAGAACGCUCAAAACACUAAAUUCUCAUUUUGGCUUCUUUAAUUUGGUUCCUUUCCUGUCGAUUGUCAUCUUGAGAAACAGUGCUCUCAUAGUUGUAAUGCGGCUAAUUCCUUUUCAUUUCUAGCAUCUGCAUCAUUUGUUUGUGUUGAAUUUUUCUGUUAGUUUGUUUUGCUUUCGGGGAAGGAAUUAAGGCCUCCAUUCUUUGGUCAAGGGCUUGAUUUAUCUUAAUUUAAAAGCACUUGGAUCAACAUUCUUCCGAACUGUGUGAACCUUGUGAGCUAUGUUAUUUGUCUCUUUAUGUCAUUUCUUAAAGUUUACUCCCUUUUUCGUUGCCAUGGGAGGUACUUGAAGCAUGAAUUUCAAAAGUUUGCUAAGGAAAAGAAACAGGACUAUGACUAAACUGAUUUUUUUUGUGAUUUUAUGCAUGACUCUCUUCAUCAGCAUCUUGAAAAUGAGAUGAUUGAAAAGGUCAAGAUGUAUAAGAUAAUGCUGGAACGCAUUAUGCUUUUUUUGCGGCUUAAAAAGCAGGAUAUUCAACUUAUUCAUAAGGAAAAACUGGUCUCGGUUGAGAAGAACAUAAGUAAGUUUCUUAGUUCCAAUUUGGCACGCAGCAAGACUUCUUCUUCUCCACAGCAGGGGCAACUUCAUCAGUCUUCCAUGCAGCUUCAGCAACCACAAUCUCUUGGUGGUCAAACUAAUCCACCGAUGCAGCCCGUACAGGGUUCCAUGGAGGCAAUGCAACAGAGUUAUCUCACCAACUUGCAACAUUAUUCCUUGUCUGGCGUAUCGACAAUAUCCAAUUCUCAACAACACAUGAUAAAUGUGGUAAAACCUGGUUCCAGAUGGGAUUUGGGACAGGGUAAUUCGUUGAACUCACCGCAGCAGGUGGCUACUGGAUCCUUACAACAGAAUCCUGUUAACAGUCUUCAACAUGAUAAUAUAAGCUCAUUCAGUACACCAGGUGGAAUGAACCCUGUACAGGCAAACCUCGAAUCCCUACAGCAAAACUCAAGCGCGCUGCCUCAUUUACUUCCUACACAGCACGAGCAGCAAAUGUUGCAGAACCAACAAUUAACACCCCUGUGCAACCAGCUACUGAUGCAGCAACAACUUUUUCAAAGUCAGCAGUUAAUGAAACAUCAGCAAGCAAUGAACUCACCGCAGCAGUUAAUGCAACAGAAUAAUUUCACCAACUUGCACCAUGAUUCCUUGUCUGGCGUAUCGACAAAUUCCAACUCUCAGCAAGACAUGAUAAAUACAAUACAGCCUGGUUCCAAUUUGGAUUUGGGACAGGGUAAUUCUUUGAACUCACUGCAACAGGUGUCUACUGGCUCUUUGCAACAGAAUCAUGUUAACCGUCGUCGACAAGUUAACAUAAGAUCAUUAAGUCCACAAAGUGGAACUAACCCAGUGCAGGCAAACCUCGGUUCCCUACAACAAAAUUCAAACGUCCUGCAGCGAAUGUCACAGAGCCAGCAAAUGUUGCAGAACCAGCAGCUACUUUUGCCAAUACAGCAGUUAAUGAAACUGCAGCAAAUGCAAAUGAAAACAGGAAUUUUACAGAAACAUCACUUAAUGCAACAGCAGUCAGUUGGCCAGCGCGUUGGAUCUCAUCAUCCACAAAUGAAGUCAGGAAUAUCUUCACCUCAACUCCAUAAGGCACUAUCUCCUCAGGUUACCCAACAUCCUUCUCCGCAAAUUGACCAACAAAAUAUGUUGGCAUCUCUUUCCAAAGCUGGGACGCCUCUCCAAUCCGCAAGCUCACCAGUUGUUGUUCCAUCUCCUUCAACUCCCUUGGCUUCAUCUCCAAUGACGGGGGAUUCUGAAAAAGUUAGUGCUGGCCUUGCAUCACAUAACACAGCUGGAAAUACAAUGCAUCAACGAGCUACACUACCGAUGGAGUUUGAACCCUACACCUCUACUGUGGAAGGUAUGGAGAUUUCACCAAGUGAGCUAUGCUAACCCUUCAACCCCUAUUUAUAUAGAAUAAUGAAAAUAAUGAUGAAAUUACAAUUGCCACAAGUAAUUUGCUGAAUAUUAGCUAAAGAAACUUUUGCAGAAUGUAUUAAUAUACCCUGAAAUAUCUAACAUUCUCCCAAAAUUUGCCUGAAAUUUUAAUGGUGUAAGUAAUCAGGUUCUUUAAUCUUUGUUCUAUCCUCAAUUUUGUGUUAUUUGUAGCACCUUUAGAUUCUUCAGCUCAGACAGGAAACACAAAUGGAGCUGACUGGCAGGAAGAGGUUUACCAAAAGGUAUUGUUCGCAAUGGUAUUUAUUUGUUCAAGAUUUUGAAAACAUAGGAAAUUAGAGAUGACUAGCUGGAAAUUGAAUUUUUUGGCAGUUGAUUAGUGAUGUGCAUUUUGAUAAACUAGCUGGUUAUGACAAUAUAAGAAAUGGCUGAAUGUUCUGAAAUAUUUUUUGUGAUUCAUGGUCGUCGUACCCCUAACCCCUAGGUACUUUAAACAGGUAACUUGUAAUUAAUAUAGGCUGAUAAUAUUCUCAAUUGAAGAAUACUAUUACAAUGACUACGCCUCAAUCCCAAGCUAGUUGGAAUCAGCUAUAUGAAUCCUUAUUAUCCAGUUUGUUUAACUUGUAAUUCAUGGUGGUCUAUGAUCACGUUAUGGAAUUUGUACUCUUUGAUGUGAGCAGAAAUGUGAACCAAGAAGCUAAAGGAAUCAAUUUUUUUUUUAUCAUUCACUUGUUAAUCAACUAUAUAGCCUCUUGGCCACGCUUUGGAAGGCCAAAAGUGCUUCUUUUUUUAAAAAAGUGAGGUGUUCGGCCAAGUUUUUGGGAGAAAAUAAGUCUUUUGGUGGAGUAACAAAAGUUGUUUUUUAGAAGCUAAAAAGGAAAGUUUUUCUCCAAAAGUACUCUUUUGAAAAGCACUUUUGAGAUAAUACACUUUAGAAGCACUUGUUAAAAGCUUGGACAAACACUAAUUGCUGCUCAAAAAUGUUUUUAAAAUUGAUUAGUCAUAUACAGAUGUCACCAAAACACUAAUUUCUUGAAAAGCAUUUUUCAAAAUAAGCAUAUUUUAGAAGCUUGACAAAACAUGCUAGUAGUCUCUUUCUCUUAUACUCACUUUUAACCUUUUUAUCUGGAAGGUUCUUUCAUGAAGAUUGUCUAGUUUGUUCUCUACUGCAUCGUACAAUUGAUCUAAUUAUCACAUAUCCUCAUGGGAGAUGCAAUCUUGACAUUUGUGAAUUUGACUUCAUGAAAUUUUGUAACACAGAUCAAGUCUAUGAGGGAGAUGUAUUUAUCAGAGCUCAAUGAUCUAUACUGGAAAACUGCUUCUGAAAUGCAGCAGGUUUGUUUUUUAGCUAAAUUUGCAUUGAUUCCAAGAGAACUUGAGUCCUUUGAUAUAAUUAUUAUUGAUAGAUCUUAAGUCUAACUCAUCUUUUUUACUACCUUCAAUCAUCAUAAUGUCCCACCUAUCGAUGCCUUCGGACGUCUUUUUAGGAUAUGUCUGUACCAUCUUAGAUGAGAGAGCCAUCUUAGACGACGAUGUCUCAUUUUAAUCUUUUUGUGUAACUGUUAAUUGUUAUAUAGACAUGAAUUUGAUGUUAGAGUCUCUUUUCCAUCACUGAAAGGGAUCAAGUACUCCCUAGUGUUUUGGGAUUGGGAUUGAGCUUGAUAUAUCUGAGUUGUGAAAAGCACUUAUGCGAACAUUUUGUCGAAACAUAGAGUGAUAGUUUUUUUAUUAUUUUUUGGUGGAAGGAAAAAUAUGUGUUCAUUUUUAGUUUUUUUACUAUGUUAUUAAUUUCUUUAUGCCUUUUUCUGAAGUUCCCCUCCCUUUUUUCUUGGCCUGGAGGGGUACUUAAAGCAUGACUAUUAAAAAUUUGCAUAGGGCAAGAAACUGAUUUCGUUCUGAUUUUGAGCAUGACUCUCUUCCUCAGCAUCCUCAACAUGAGAAAAUUGAAAAACUCAAGAUUUUCAAGAUGACGUUGGAACGCAUUGUGCUUUUCUUGCGGCUUAACAAGUGUGAGAUUCAACUUUCUCACAAGGAAAAACUGUUUUCGCUUGAGAAGUACAUAACUUUCUUUCUUAGUGGCAAAAGUCCGCACAACCCUACUUCUUCUCCAUUGCACGGGCAACUUCCUUAGCGUUCCAUCCACACAAGUCAGGUAUGCAAUCCGAACUUGUUUAGAUAAUUCAAUUGUUUUUCACCUUGUUGAAAUUGUUUUCCUCUUGUAUUAACAUGCAUCUACAUUUCCACUAGAAUUUUUUUUUUUUUUUUUUUUUUUUUAGGGGUGGGGGGGAUUGAUAACUCGGGACUUGUUAUUAUUUUCACAGUAUAAAUCUCUUAAGCUAUGAAUGAUCUCUCGUGUUACUUCUACUUUGUUCUAAGAUCUUAUGUGUUUAAAUAGGAAAGUAUGAAGGUCAAAUGUUUGAGUAGAAGGUUAGUGGGGAGUCUAGUGUUGUCGUAGUUCUAGUAGUAUGAUUUAGGUAGCUUGUAGUUUUUUUUUCUCCUAUGUGUAUUAAUAUUUGUUGCUACACUUGUUUCUUACAUUGCUACUUUGUUCUCUCUUUUUCUAUCUUACUUUCCUACGUUUGUUACAUAUCUUUUGAGCCGAGGGUCUAUUAGAAACAACCUGUCUACGAUAAGGUUUGCAUACAUCCUACCCUCCCCUGAUCCCACUUGUUGAAUUACAUGGCUAUGUUGUUGUUGAUCUCCUUGGUUUCGUUCUAAGGUUUUUUGUGUGUAAAGUUUACAAUCUCUCGCAAUUUACUCGUAAGUUACUAAUCAUAUGUUGCACGUUAUAUUCUACGCAGGCACAAGAUAUAUAUGCACAUCAGCCGCCUAUGUUGGAUUCCAGUUGGCAAGAUAUUACUUCUGAGCUUGAUAGAUUUCUGUGUUUGAUUGAUUAGAUGGUAGUUAUGAUGGAUUGUGUUAUGUAUGGAAUGGUUUUGGUACUUUUGGUAUUGAUAGAUAGAUUGGGUUGUAAUUUUGAUGGAUUGAGUUUUGGUACUAAACUUGAUGAGCGUUGAGCACACGAAUAAGGGGUUAUGUAAAGUACUCUUGAACCCAUGUGGAUUAUUUAAAGUACUCGUGAACCAACUUAUACAUCCUUCCCUAGAUUAUUUAGAAAGCACCACAAUUGUUCUGAUAAAUUACUUAAAUUUUGUGGGAACCUCGGUUAAAAUUCAAAAUAUCCAUCUCUAAUUUUUUCUAAUGUUUGAAUCUUGCGUAUUCGCGCUAGCAGGUUCUACAAGCCCUCUGUCCCACGCGUCUAAUCAGCUCGUGUAGUUCACCGGUUCCACCGAAAACUCUCAAACAAAGUGGAGUAUAGUGUGCUUUUGCAGGUAGUUAGCCGCUUUAUCUGUAGGAAAAGACCUUAGGCUGUACAACAAUUCCGCUAUUCUCCCUUUCAAGUAGGGGUCAACGGAGCUUUAAUACUUUUACAAACAAAGCUCACAUUUCUCCUCGAAAAAAUUUGUGGUCUCUCGUUUUAGUUUUUUUUUUCAAUUUAUUCGUAAAGUAUGUUUCCUUAAAUAAUGAUAUGCUAUUUUAAUCGUUUUCAAAUAUAAAAUUCGUUAAGAACAAUUAUAAGCUGAUUUUUCUUUUGUGAUAAUACUAGUAAUUGUAGUUUACUUUUCAAGUCGUCGUUUUGGCAAAAAUUUAUAGCAUUAAACCUAACGAUGUUGAUGAAAGGUUAGGCAUGGUUGAGGAACCAUAUAGAGAAAACUAAGACUCAUUUGAAAAGGGUGAUUUUAUUUUACCUUCAUGCUUGGGUUGUCGUGUUUGCAUUAAAUUUCUGAGAUAGUUUUAAAAAUUCCUAUACGAUUUCAUUGUUCUUUUCAUGUUUUUGGGAGUUAGAAAACUCGAUUUUGGGCAACGUUUUUUAGACGUUGAUAGUUUAUCUUAUAUCAAUAAUGAAAUUUAGUUGUGGAAUUGUCUUGCAUAAUCUAAGAUUGUUUUGUUUAACCUCUAUAUAUAUUUUAGUCACAAUGCAGUUUAGCCAAAAGUAUAAGUUCUUCUAUACAUAAAAUCAGUUAAAAGAUAAACUAUAUAUAAAUGAAAAUAUACUAUCACCUUAUUCUUUAUUUUCUUUUAGUUUUUAUUAAUUGUAGUUGCUAAAACAGAUGGCAAUUCAAUGAUGAAUGUUUCAAAAUGAUCUGUUUGACCUCUCAAUAUAUCAUGGAAUAUAUAUAUAUAUAUACUAGUUUCACGGCACGUGCGUUGCAUGUGUGUAUCAUAUCAUAUAGUAUACGAUGUUGUAAAAUAACAUCAAUAUUAUUAAAUUAAAGUUUUUUAGUAAAUAAUUAUAACGGAGAGAAUAUUGACAAGUGCUUUUAAAUGAUUAAUAUAGAUUUUAAUAGAGUUAAUUGUUUUUUGAGAUAAAAAUUACGAGAUAUCAUUGAAACAUUUAAAAAUGCAUUCAAAAAAUUUUAAUUUGGGGAAAAAGUAAAAUUUCUCAAGUAGUAUUGUUUUUUACUUUACUCAAUUUGGUAAACAAACUUAACCAACAAAACAGAAAAAUAUUGUCAAGAUAAAAAAAAUGGUCAGCAAAAUUUUUUCCUCUUGAGGUAAUGACUAUAAAUAAUGGACAUCAUUUAAGUAAAAUUAUUCUCUUAGAUAUUAAUAUUUGAAAUUUAAUAUGUGCAUGACACAAAGAACGAUUGUCAGAAAUAUUUUAAUAAUUUAUCUUUAAACGUUAUAUAUCUUUUACAAAAUAUUAUUAUUGAAUUAAUAUUUUUGUAAGACUAUGAUAUAGAUGUAAUUUUACAAAAACAAAAAGUGUACUUAUAUAGUGAAUGUCAAUACUUUUAUACGUAGAAUGUUAUAGAGAAAAAUAUAUUACGUCAAUAAUUAGUUCUAAAGAAAUUAUCCUUAUUUUGCCGCAUAACAUAUCAUAUAGAUGUUGUCUUAUAAGAGUAUCUAGUAUCUUAUAGAUGUUCUAUCGUGAUAUAAAACAUUUAAACUUUUUCAAUUAAAAAAUUAAAAGAUGAAUAAAAGUUGAAGUAUUAUUUAUAGAAUCUUUAAUUUGAUUUAAGAUCAUUUUAUGAUUAAUCACAAUUUUCUUAUCAUUUUUAUAUAGCUAGAAAAGAGUGUAUCUUAUGACAUAACAUUUUCUUAGAUCAAAAUGAACACAAAAUAACAAGAAAUUCAUACUUAAAAAAAUCAUACUCAAUGUAAAUAUAAAAAAGUAAAAAUAUGUGGAUCAAUUAAUAGCCAAUGAAGAAGGAAGGCGAAAAUAUAUGUUCAUGAUAUAUUCACCCUAGUGUUUCAUUUGAUUGAAAUCUCUUGCCACCAACACUUUACUUUCUCCGUUCAUUUUUACUUAAAUAUUUGUUAAAAAAUAUUUAUUAUCAUGGUUAUAUUAUCAUAUUAUAAGCAAAAGUGAAAAUCUAUUUUUGAAACAGUAGACUUAACAUCAAAACUACUAAUUCAAUGAGUUGUGACCUUUUUGAAGGGUUGUGACUUUUCGGAAGAGUUGUGACUUUUCCAAAGGGUUGUGACAUUUCCAAAGAGUUAUGACUUUUCCGAUGAGUUGUGACCUUUCUGAAGGGUUGUGAAUUUUCUAAAGGCUUGUGACAUCUUUUUGAUAAAGCACAAUAAGUAGUUUUUCAUACACUACCCUUUGUUGGCUAUUAAAAGAGCGGCUUCCUCAAAUUUUUAAACUACAUUUUAAAAAAAAAUAUUCAUUAUUCUUCUUCUUCUCCUUAAAACAUCCUAUUUAGUAUAUCUUCUAAUUUUUAUGACAAGGAACAAUAUGCACAUACUAAUACUACACAUUUUAACUAUAAAUGGAGGGGUUUCCUCAUAUUUUAAACUACGUUUUCUUUAUGUUUUUUGUUCUUCUUUUCUUAAAACCUCAAAGAUUGAUCUAUAGAUGUUGACAAUCUCAACGGUUAGUGAAAUUAGGAUACUCCCUAACAUGAAUAUUAAUUAAUCUAAUAUUCCAUCUAAAAACAUCAAAUUUAGUAUAUCUUCUAUAUUUUAUAACAUAUUUAUAUUAUAUUAUAUUAUAUUAAAAGUAAGAACACCAACAAUACAAUAAUAACAAAGUAAUGCACUAUAGAGAAGGGAGGAGAAAGUAUAUAAAAGAGGUGAAACUAAGAGAUUAUAAGAGUGGUUAAUUUUUUAUUUUAAUAACGUUCACGUUAUUUUUAAAAAUAGUGUGAUACGUGGUUUGAUAUUCACGUGCAAUGCACGUGCGUCAAAACUAGUUACCUUAAAAAUAUUACCUUAAAAGCAUGAACUCCUAACUUGAAUGUUAAAUUACUAUAAUAUCCCUAACUUAUAUAUUACCUUAAAAGCAUGAACUCCUAACUUGAAUGUUAAAUUACUAUAAUAUCCCUAACUUAGGUUGUGACUUUUCCGAAAAGUUGUGACUUUUUUCGAAGGGUUGUGAUUUUUCGAUGAGUUGUGACUUUUUCAAUAAGUUAUGACUUUUCCAAAGAGUUGUAACUUUUCCAAGGGUUGUGACUUUUCAGAUAAGACACAAAAAAACAUUUGUUCAUACUACCUUCUUCUUCGUUCGAAGUUUAGCGGAAUAUGAGGUACCACUAUUCUGAUGAAGUAAGUCGUUCUAUCCUAAGAAGGUAUAUUACAUAACCUCGAGUACUUCAAGAAAAUAAUUUUGAUGAUAUAAUAAUUAUUUUUUUGCUUAAUAUAUACAUUAGUAUGUAAUGUUCCAAUAUAUGAAGUUAACAUGAUGAUGUAGUCUAAAUUCAUUUGUUUUUGUGUAGAUAUAUGCUUCUAAAUAUCUUUUCCAAAAUUUAGAGAUUUGUCACGAUUUGUUUUUGAUGCUCAAGACAAAAGAAUGACUUUAUUUAUCAAUGUUACUUAUGUGAUUUAGACUCUCAAGAAGUUUGCUUCAAAAUAGUUAUUACUAUAUAAACAUUGUCAUUUUGUUUUACUUAUUUACUAUUUUUUAAUAUUUCAGUAUUUUAGACGAAGAAAAUUUCAUAUCACUUGUAAUAACGCCAGUUGAAGUUUGUAUUAGUUUAAUUUCUAUUAUUUAUUUAAUAGUUAAUUUUAUGAGAUAAAUAUUUUCAUUAAUGCAAAUAUAUAUUUAUAUUUGGGUAGGUAUUUAUAUUUAAAUUAAAGUAUUAUAUAUGUCACAAAUGUAUUAUCAAGUUAACGAGAUCUUCUAACUUCAAAAUAUAUUAUUUUAAAAUGUUUUGAGUUUUUUUUAUCCCAACAAAUGUGAAAAUAUGUGGAUAUAUAAAAUGUAGUUAUUCUCUUCACAUGUUCAUAUGACAUUUAAACAAUUUAACGUGGAAUACACAUGUAAAACACAUUUAGUUAGAUGACAAGAAAAAUACACAGCAAAUAUUGUCUAUAAGUUAAUAUUAAUGAGAUAAGACUAUUUACAUACCUCAUCAAAUUGAAAUAAAUAUAUACAUUAUUGCAUCUAACUAAUAAAAAUUUUCAUUGACUAUCUUCAUAGGUUUGCGUGAAUAAGAGAUAUAGAUGACGAUCCACAUUGAACAUUUACAAAAGAAUCUGCAAUAUUAUUUUUUGCUAUGCUUAUUAUUCAAAUCUUCGCUUAAAUAAGCAAUACUAUUUACUAUAACAUAUAUUUUUGAAAUUGGUAAGUCAAAAAAUUAGUUAUUUUAAAGCUUCUUAUUAACUACACAAAGCUAAAAUAAAAUCACUAUAUUAAACAUAAUUUUUCUUAAAAUAGUGUAAAACUAGUGAAUGGGCCAGAGACUUUGAGUCAAUGGCGGCUGGACACGUCGGUAUUAGUCAGAUAUUACUAAAUAUUUAUUUAUAUUACUAUAUAUGAAUGAAUAAUAUUUAGACUUUGGGAGUUUUGUUUCUUAUUUAUACACCCAAAUCUAGGCGGAAUUGUGAUUUUUCAUCGAAAUUUUGGAAUUUUUUUUGCUUUUGAUCGAAGCCAGAAAUUGUGAUUAUUGAUUGUGGAUUAAGGAAUUUUGGUGUGGAAUUGAAAUGGAUGGGAAUAAUUGGAGGGCCGCUCAGGCUCAGGGAGGUGGUGAAGGUGGCGGAGCGGCUGCCGGAGCUAUGGAUUCCGGUGAUUGGAGGACUCAACUUUUGCCUGAUUCGCGUCAAAGGAUUGUGAACAAGAUGUAAGCUUUUUCUAUUUUUGGUUUUGCGACUUGUUCUUAUUUUUUCAUUUGUUAAAAGGAUUUGGAAUUUUGAAUUUUAGGGCUUUUUUUUUGUGUGUGUUUUAUCGGUUAUCUGAAGAAACCCCAUUUCUUUAGAAGUAUUGAUUAAUCAAUCUGAUACAUGUUUUUUUCAGUGUUUUUCUGUUUUAUGGAAACUCACUUUAUCAGGUGAAUUUUGGGGUUUUUUUUGUUAAUGGUAUUGGGUGAGUUAAUUGGAAGUUUAUGCCGUAGUUAUUUCCAAUUUUGGUAAUCAGUCAAGGGUAACAGAUGCGUACACUCUAACCCCACGUAUGGGAUUACACUAGGUAUGUUGUUGUUGUUGGGGAUGGGGGUGGUGUGGUGGAUCAGUCAAGGAACUAGUUAAAGUGGGACAACCUAGUUUUACUCGCUGUGCUUUAUAUUUUGUUUUAGAUAUGUCGAAAUGGUAGGUUGUUGUUCGCGAUAAUUGGAUUAUAACUACUUAUAUUUGUUUAGAGGAAAUAAGUUUUAGUCUUUUGUAGCAGGGCGUGAUGUCGAAUUGUUUUUAAUAUAUUUGAGAAGUAUUUAUCUAGAUUGUUCUUUUAUCAAGAGUUUAUGUUGAUCUUUUGUUGAUAUGAUUGUAUAGAAUGGAGACCUUAAAGAGGCAUCUUCCUGUUUCUGGGCAAGAAGGAGUACAGGAGCUUAAGAAAAUUGCUGUGAGGUUUGAAGAAAAGAUCUAUUCUGCUGCUACAAGUCAGGUAUGUAGUUUAAACUUGUUUCUUAUUUGUUCGAAUUGUAAAGCUAGCUCAUAAACCACCCUUGCCUUUUUCAUCCGAAAUUAUACUUUUGAUGCAAUUUGUUUUUCAAGACCAUAUAAGGGAAUCACUCAUCCCUUUUUCAUCCAAUGUGGGACUCUUGUUUCAAUUUGUUCUCCGAGACCAUAGAAGCCCAUCCCUUUCAUCUGAUUUGGGACUCUUGAUGCAAUUUGUUUUUCAAGACCAUAUAAGGGAAUCACUCAUCCCUUUUUCAUCCAAUGUGGGACUCUUGUUUCAAUUUGUUCUCCGAGACCAUAGAAGCCCAUCCCUUUCAUCUGAUUUGGGACUCUUGAUGCAAUUUGUUCUCCAAAACCAUACAAGGAAACCACCCAUUUAUCCGAUGUGUGAUUCUUCUACAUAAAUGAUUCAAUUUUUUCUCCUCUUCAUUGAUGUUAUUCCUGCUUGUAUAAACUUGCAUUCGUCUUUCCAGUCAUCUAGACGCAUUGUAUUAGGGAUGGCAAGCGGACCGGUACAGUGCGGUUGCGGGCCAAACCCGCAUAAUCCUGCGAAGAUUUUGACCCCCCACCCAUAUCAUUAUGUUUAUGUAGAUUUUCGCACUCCUAAACAAACACAUGAAUCACUAGUUUAGCAAUUUUACUAAGACAUUGCUGACAUUAAAAAUAAUAAUUGGAUAUUCUUAUAUUUGCUCUCAUCAAGGUUUUUAUAACAGGGAAAUGGAAGAGCCUGAUACUAUAUAUAGUUCAUUUUAAGCAUGAAAUCUGUAAAUCUUAUUUAAUUGGUAAUCUAUUUAAGUAAAAUUACCUAUUACAGUGAUGUCAAGAACAAAAAAACAGGGUUAAUUCUGCAUAUUGACAUGUUUUUCUCACACGUAAAUGUUAUAGUAUCAUAUUAAUUAUUAUUCCCCAAGAGUGCUCACUAUAUAUAUAUAUUAUUAUUUUUUUUAAUUUUAAUUUUUAUUUUUGAUAACCGAGAAAUCCGUCUGUGACCCUCCACCCUUUGGACCAACCACAGCCUUCUAAACUCGGUGGAUAAUGGGCCCGCUAAGGCUGGGCACCGGAACGGGUUGUACCGGUACCAUUCCGGUUCGUUCCGGUCCGGUAGUAUUCCGAACGGGAUGGGAUACAUUGAACCGGUACACGGAACGGAACGGUACCAUGAUUUGGUACCGGUAUACCGGUACCAAAUCAUGGUACCGUUCCGUUCCGUGUACCGGUUCAAUGUAUCCCAUCCCGUUCGGAAUACUACCGGACCGGAACGGGACGGUUUGACCGGGUUGUUGACCGGUACCGGGAUGACCCGGACCGGAACUACCGGGAUGGAGGCUCGGUUCCGUCCAGUCCCACUAUAUACCCGGAAUGGACCCGGAACGGAACGGGGUAAACGGGACUGCACAUAUAGCUAUUUCAAAAAAUAAUUAUUUUUUGAAAUAGCUAUAUGUGCAGUCCCGUUUAUCCCGUUCCGUUCCGGUCCAUUCCGGUAUAUAGUGGGACUGGACGGAACCGAGCCUCCAUCCCGGUAGUUCCGGUCCGGUUCAUCCCGGUACCGGUCAACAACCCGGUCAAACCGUCCCGUUCCGGUCCGGUUCCGGUUCGUUCCGGUCCGGUGCCCAGCCUUAGGGCCCGCCCCUCUACCCUUCUCCACUUAAAUACCUAGCUUCGUUUUGCAUGGUGUGGGGCUUGAAUCUGCAACCUAAGUCACAAAUCCUCCACCUUUUGCCACUCGAGCUAUGCCUUGGGGGCAGUGCUUACUAUAUAUUUGUCAACACAAAAUGGAUAGAAUCAAGUUAUAUGGAAUUAAAUUAAAUAAUUUCAUAUUUGAGUGACCACAUAGAUUCACAAAAUCUACUUCACUAAUUUUUAUACUGACCACCACAAAAAAAUAAUUUAGAUCUAAUUUGAAUGUAUUUGCACGCCUAAGCAACCUCCACGAAGUAGGUUUAAGGUCUGUGUAAACUCUAUCCUUCCCAGAUUUGGUUGCUCGCCUAAGGAAGUUUAGUACUAAGAACUUAAUUUCUUUUUUUGUUCUUGUUCAAACCGCUGCUUGGAGAUUCUUUACUUCAGCCGACGCCCGAGCGUCUAUCGGAAACGAUCUCUCUAUCUUUAUGAGGUAGUGGUAAGGUCUGUGUACACUCCUCACCCUCCCCAAACACACUUGUGGGAGUUACACUGGAUACGUUGUUGUUUAAACCCCCUUCAUAGUUCUGCAACCCGCCCCACGCUGCAUCAGUGUUUUUAAAAAAAUAUUUGAACCCGCCCUGCAUAGCCUACCCUCAGUUUGCCAACCCUAUGUUGUAUGUAUUUUAACUUAUAUUUAUCUAAUAUUGCAGCAAGAUUAUCUUCGGAAGAUAUCUUUAAAGAUGCUGACCAUGGAAACAAAAUCUCAAACUCCUAUGACCAAUUCUGUUCAGCCAAAUCCUGCAAGUAGUGGUCAGAAUGCCCUUGGUCCAGGUGAACAAUGAAAUCUCAUGUGCUGUAUUUCAAAUAGGGAAAUCUUGUCUGACAGGACGUUUUGUAUAAACCUAAUUACUUCGUUCUGCUGUUGAAAAGUUUGCUCUCCGUAGCUAAUAAGCGUAAAGGAAAUUUUAGAUACUUGAACCAUUGUGCUAAUCUUUGAGUGAUCUAAAAUUUUGGUGACUAGCCCUAAUAAGUAUUGUUUGUGCUCUAGGUCAGAGUCCUAGCCCUGCUCUUUCUCUAUAUCCAGACUAUUCUUUUCUUAUUAGCUAACCAAGAUAAGGGACAGAAGAAAAGCUUAUGAUUUACAGUACUACAUGCUGUUGUUUAUUUGUCUAAUAAAUAACUUAGUCAAAGUUCUCUUUUGUAUUUUUGAAUCAGUUUUCACAAAGCAAUGACUUCUGUUUCUUGUAUCUUCAACUAAAAAAUACGUGUUUACAUUUGUUGCUUGUUGUAUUUUAUUUUAAUGUUAUUAUGUUUGCUAGUUAUUUGAUAGCAUCUUGACUGGCUUCUUUUUGAUUCAUUUCUGUAGGAUCGCAUGGUAUGCAAUCCCAAGUUAACGGCCAAGCACAGCAACUUCCUGUACCUAUGGUGGCCAAUCAAACUCAAACACGACAACCACUGUUGCAGCAAAACCUUCAGAACAAUAUGGCAUCAACUGGGCUGCAAAUUUCUGCUAGCUUGGCUCCAUCACUUCCUUCUGUGAGUAAUUUGACGCAGGGUACCAUGCCAAAUGUCGUGGGCCAGAAUUCAAAUUUGCAAACCAUGCAAAACAUGCCAAAUGUUGGUCAAAACUUAGUAGGAAAUGCCAUUGGGCAAGGCAUGCCACCUAAUAUGGUUGCUAAUUCUCAGAGGCAGAUGCAGGGAAGACAACAACAGGUUGUUUCUCAACAGCAACAGCAGCAGUCCCAGACAACACAGCAAUAUCUUUACCAGCAGCAACUGCAUCAGCAUCAAAUGAUGAAGCAGAAAUUUCAGCCGGGAAGCACAUCACAGUCCUUGAUGCAAUCUCACAUGCAGCAACAGCAACAGCAACAGCCUCAGGAGCAGCAGCAACAACCGCCACAGCAGCAACAAAACCUUCUACAACCUACUCAGACACAACCUUCUCAGCAAGCUAUGAUGCAACCUUCUUCAAUACAAUCAACUUCUUUGUCCAACCUUCAGCAGAAUCAACAGUCAACUGCUCAACAGUCAACUCAAUCUGUACUUCACCAACGGCAACAAUCAGUUAUGAGACAGCAGCAGGCGCCCAUGCUUCAUCAACAGCAAUCAUCAAUGCUACAGCAACCAAUUUUACCAGCACAACAGCACCAACAACAACAGCAGCAGCAGCAGCAGCAGCAGCAGCUGAUUGCACAACAGACAAAUGUUGCAAAUCUCCAGCAGAACCAAUUGAUGAGUCAACAGAAUACAAUGCCUGAUGUGCAGCAGAGGCUAGUGGGCCAACAGAACAACUAUAACAGUCUGCAGCAGCAGCAGUUACUUAAUCCACAAAACAGCUUUCAAAAUAUGCAUCAGCAGCAGUUGGGCUCUCAAAGUAAUAUUGCUGGGGUCCAGCAGCAACAGCUGUCUGGAAGUCAACAACCUGGUAACUCUGGCUUGACAUCUAAUCAGCACCCUAUCCAUUUGAUGCAACAACCAAAAGUUCCUGUACAACAACAAAUGCUGCAGAGUACUACAACCUUGUUACCAAAUCAAGGUCAACAAUCGCAGUCGCAGCCAGCACAACAGCAAAUGAUGUCUCAGAGCCAAUCACAACCAGGACAGUUACAGCCACCUUUGGGUUUGCAGCAACAGGCGAAUCAAUUGCAAAGGGAGAUGCAACAGAGGCUUCAACCAUCAGCCCCCUUGCUUCAACAGCAGAAUGUAAUGGAACAGCAGAAGCAGCUAUAUCAAUCACAAAGAGUCGCACCUGAAGCCUCAUCAAGUAUGUAUUUUUCUUAAUCAAAGAUUUCAAUUAGGUCUCAUAAAUCACUCUUUAGCAGUUUGUCAUUCUUAGAUAUUUCCACUUUUCAUGCCUUAUGUGUGUGAAGGUAUAGGACUUCUACACUAUUUUAACCACUGGUUUACAUUUUCUUUAUGUAAAAAUGACUAGUACUUGACUCCUUACAGCAUUAAAAUUUCAGGCAAGUUUUGGGAUAUGAAAGGUGAUGGAUAUUUUAGAUAAUAUUCAUACUUAUCUGAAAUACCCAACACCUUUCAUAUCCCAAAAUUUGCCUGAAAUUUUAAUGCUGUAGGGAGUCGAGUCCUUCAAUAUUUUUGUGCUAGCCUUAACUUUUGGUUUAUUUGUAGCAUCUUUAGAUUCUACAGCUCAGACGGGAAAUGCAAAUGCAGCUGAUUGGCAGGAGGAGGUUUACCAAAAGGUAUUUUUUUUUCAAUGGUAUUUCUAUAUGCACGGGAUGUUGAAAACUGAGGAAAUUACUGGAAAUUGUUGUUUUGGAAAUUGACAAGUGAACUGUAUUUUGAUAAAUUGACUGGUUGCAACAAUAUAAGAAGUAGCUGAAUGCUGUGAAAUAUUUCCUGUGAUUGAUGGAGUAAUAGAGGAGGUUUAUCAAAAUAAGUAUUCAGCAAAUUCAUGGUCAUACCCAUUCCCGCAAAGCACUUUUACGGUGUUCCAAUUCGUAGAAGAACUAUGAAAUUACGCUUAUUACAGCUAACUUGUAAGAAAUUGAUUUAUUCUCAAUUGAGAAGUGAGGUAUAACAACUAUUAUGCCUCAAUGUUAAUCAAGUUAGGGUCUGUUAUAUGAAUUAUUGUUGUCUAUGUCGCUUUAUUUGAGCUCUUCUCAAUCCAAUAUUAUAGCACUUGAAUUUCCUUACACUUUCUACUGGCAUAAUUGAGAAGUGAAGUAAAUAAAUUGAUUGGUUACACUUGUUUUUUGAUGAAGUGAUUAUAAAUAGUUGAAUGUUGUUAUGUAUUGUCUGAAUUCACGAGGUAAUAUGUCCGUAAGUUUGGGUCAGGGUCCUCAUAAUAUGUCCUUAAUUUGUUUCAUUCCAUGGAAACUAAAAAAAUUAUUGCUACAUUAAAGGGUAAAUCUAUUCAUGCAGGAAGUAUAUGCUUGCAUAUAUGGCUAUUAGAAAAUAUUGUUCUUUGUGAAAAGACACAUUCAUCUGUAUUAGUUGGUAACUGCUUUUGUUUCUGUUUUUUGGGAUAACACGAGAAAUUCAUUGUUUCCUGUUUUGAAAUGUGGAUGAUAAUGGGUCUGCCCCUCUAGCUUUUUGUACUUAAAUACCCGACUUGGUUUACUAGCUAGGAGUGUAAGUUGGAAUAUUUUGAGUUGGCCAAGAAUAAAGAUAUAACAUCAACAUGCCUUUUUACUUGUGAAGCUAACUACAUUGUUGUUAUUCAUUGUUUACCCUCAUUUUGCUUCACUGGUAAUAAACGUGUAAAGUGAAAAAAAAAUGAUGUUCCCACACUAAACCAUAUUAUAUCUCCCAAACAAUUAUAGAAAAGUAUAUUCUAAUUCCUGCUGGUUGGGCUGGUCUAUUAUCACAUCUUGGAACUAGACCCUUGCUAUGAGCAUUGAGCAAAACGUGUACCAAGAAGCUGAAGGAAGCAAAGUUCAGUUUAUUUUUUCAUUCACAUGUUGAAUCAUGUAAAAUGGAUUCUUUAAUGAGUUUUAGUCUUCCUCUUCCACUUCACUUUUAACCUUUUUAUCUGGAAGGUUCUUUCAUGAGGAUUCUCUAGUUUGUUCUCUACUGUAUCGGAAAGUUGAUCUAAUUAUUACCUAUCCAUAUGGGAAUGCAGUCUUGACAUGUGCGCAAUUCUGAGCUGAUGCAAAUUUUUAAUGCAGAUAAAGUCUAUGAAGGAGUCGUAUUUGGCAGAGCUCAAUGAUCUAUACCACAAAAUUGCUUCUAAAGUGCAACAGGUAUGUCAUCAACAUUUUAAUCCAUUAUUAUCAUUUUUGGAGCAAUUCUACCAGCUGUGUAUGGUGCAGCAUGUUGGAUACUAGUUUUUUUAUAUAAUUUGAGAUGUUAAUAGUUCUUAGAAAUCAUUCUUCUUAUGGGGACAGUACUUGCAAUCAUAUAUUUCUCCCCUACUUAUCCUAAUUGCUUCAUCAUAGUUCUAAAUUAUGGUUUGACUCCCUUGAAAGUUUUGUCAAUUGACACACCAUCAUUUGCAUGUAGCAUGCACCAAGGUGUACUGCAUUUGUAUUAUAUUGGUUAGGUCAUCCAUAGCUAGGUUAACCAGUACUGGUAUCAGGAUAAAUUUCAUAAACCUAUGGUUAUUGGGAACUCCUCUCAUCUAUUUGCAUGUUUCUCAUACCUAUUAUAGCUCCUUCUUACAUAUAUUCUCUGGCAUUUCUAGUUGAUACAAACUCCUUGAUACGCCCAUAGGUAAUCCUAGAAUAUUAUCUAACUGAGAACUGAUGCAGAAAGCUCAAAACUCUAAAUUCUCAGUUUUGCAUCUUUGGUUCCUUUCCAGCCAUCUUGAGAAACAGUUGUAUCAUACUGGGAAUACAUUGUAGUGCGGUUAAUUCCUUUUUAUUUCUUGCAUCUGCAUCAUUUGUCUGUGUUGAAGCGUUGUGUAUGAUUGUGAAGUAUAGGUGGAGGACACCAUAAAAUGAGCUAUUUACACAUAUCUAGGUGAACACUGUGAUGUAGAUGCCACUUUUAUGUUCCCUUGGGGGAAGGGUUCAAGGCUUCCCUAAUUCUUCGGGCAAGGGCUUGAUUUGUCUAAAUUUUAAGAGCGCUUAAGUCAGCAUUCUGUUGAAUUGGGCACCUGGCUACUAUGUUUUUUUUUUUUUUUUUGAUAACCGAGAAAUCCGUCUGUGACCCACCCUUUGGACCAAUCAUAGCGCCUUCUAAACUCGGUGGAUAAUGGGCCCGCCCCUCUACCUUUCUCCACUUAAAUACCGGGCUUCGCUUUGCAUGGUGUGGGGUUUGAACCUGCGACCUAAGCCACAAAUCCUCCACCUUUUGCCACUUGAGCUAGGCCUUGGGGGCCACCUGGCUACUAUGUUAUUUAUUUUUUAUGUGGUUUUAAGUUUUACUCCCUUUUUCUUUGCUGUGGGAGGGAGGUACUUGAAGCAUGACUUUUAAAAGUUUGCAAAGGGCAAGAAACAAGACUUUGACUAAACUGAUUUUUUUUUCCUGAUUUUAAGCAUGAUUCUCUUCCUCAGCGUCCUCAAAAUGAGCAAAUUGAAAAGCUCAAGAUGUUCAAGAUUACGCUGGAACGCAUUGUGCUUUUCUUGCGGCUUAACAAGCAGGAUAUUCAACUUUCUCACAAGGAAAAGUUGGUUUCGGUUGAGAAGCACAUAAGUUUCUUUCUUAGUUCCAAUAGGCCGCGCAGCAAGCCUUCUUCUUCUCCACUGCAGGGACAACUUCCUCAGUCUUCCAUGCAGCUUCAGCAACCACAAUCUCUUGAUGGUCAAUCUAAUCCAUCGAUGCAACCCGUACAGGGUUCCAUGGCAGCAAUGCCGCAGAAUAAUCUCACCAACUUGCAACAUAAUACCUUGUCUGGCGUACCGACAAUUUCCAACUCCCAGCAACACAUGAUAAAUACAGUACAGCCUGGUUCCACUGUGGAUUUGGGACAGGGUAAUUCAUUGAGCUCACUGCAGCAGGUGGCUACUGGCUCUUUACAACAGAAUCCUGUUAACAGUCCUCAACAAGUUAACAUGAGCUCAUUAGGCUCACAAAGUGGAACAAACCCCGUACAGGCAAACCUCGGUUCCCUACAGCAAAAUUCAAACGCCCUGCAACAGUCACUUCCUAAGCAGCACGAGCAGCAAAUGUUGCAGAACCAGCAAUUAAGACAGCAAUACCACCAUAGGCAUAUGCAGCAGCAACUUUUUCAAAGACAGCAGAUAAUACAACAGCAGCAAGCGAAGCAACAGCAGACCUCGCUAUUGCCAACCCACCAGAUGUCUCAGCUUCAACAGAUGACUGAUGCUAAUGACCUAAAGAUAAGGCAGCAAAUGGGGAUAAAAACAGGAGUUUUACAGCAACAACAGUCAGUUGGCCAGCGUGUUGGAUCUCAUCAUCCCCAAUUGAAGCCAGGAAUAUCUUCACCUCAACUCCAUCAAGCAUUGUCUCCUCAGGUUACCCAACAUCCUUCUCCACAAAUUGACCAACAAAAUAUGUUGGCGUCUCUUACCAAAGCUGGGACUCCUCUCCAAUCCGCAAGCUCACCAUUUGUUGUCCCUUCUCCUUCAACUCCCUUGGCUCCAUCUCCAAUGCCGGGGGAUUCUGAAAAAGUUUGUGCUGGCCUUGGAUCACAUACCACAGCUGGAAAUAUAAUGCAUCAGCAAGCUACUGUUGCUUCUGCACCUGCCCAAUCCCUUGCAAUUGGUACUCCUGGGAUAUCAGCCUCACCUUUGCUUGCUGAGUUUACUCCUCUAGAUGGUACACAUGCCAAUGUCUCAGCUGCUGUUCCUGGCAGGUCAAGUGUUGAACAACCAUUGGAUCGCUUGAUGAGAGCGG